AGUUUCACUACGUGCAGAUUAGAGAAAAAGAAGUCGCAAGGACUUACCUCAUACAGGGCAGUGGUUGGCUCCCAAGGAGCAAAUACACCUUGAAGAACCACUCCAUCAGGAAAUUGGAUGCGAACUAUAGUCCUGGUGUAUUUCUUCCGGGCAGCUUUGGCCUGCUUUUCCCUAAAUGACCUGGGAAUCAGAAGCUGGGAUUCAGCGAGCUUCUUCUUUCUCAUAUCUGCUUCGCUUUUUAGCUCGAUGGCGGACAGAUUGUAGAACGAGUCUGGCACCUCAAUUUUUGAUGCUACGUUUUCAGAAACAGCAAAGAACACCUUGAUCUGGUUCAAUGGGAAAAGAACAAAAGUAGGUUGAAUGAACUACAUAAGAAAAUGACAGAUGCAGCAUGAUGAAAGCAUAGUAUACAAAGAUAAAGUGCAACACAAUCAGCCAUUGGAUAAAUGAUGCUAUAAAGAGCAAAAUCACUAAAGAAGAUUCACUGAACAGGUGAUAGUUUCAAACAUAAAAGAAAUACAAGCAUAGCUAGCAACCCAUACUUCUAUUUAACGCUUUGGACAGGUGCUGUCUAGUAAUUAGGAAUCACAUCAAUACUUAGGAAAAUUCAUUCUCAAAUGUGGAAUCUCAUGAGCAGGUGAAAUGAAUGAAGCAAGAACUUCAAGCAUUUCAGUGGUACAUUAAAGUCAUAUCAUUAUUUGAUCCUUACCUUUACCAAAUGUUAAAAUCAAUAUCACCAUAACAUUAAACCAAGAUAUUCAACCAUUUCGAAAUGCAGAGUGUUAAAGUAAUUGCCAGGUCGUAUAAAUAUUAAAAGCCUACCAGAAACCAGUAUCAGACAUCAUAAAUCCAGUGAUGAACACACAUCAUUUAUCAACAAGAUAUCUAUAUAGGCAAUUGUACCUGUCUGUAAUCUUCUUUCGCUCAUUAAACCAAGAUAUUCAACCAUUUCGAAAUGCAGAGUGUUAAAGUAAUUUCCAGGUAGCAUAAAUAUUAAAAUCCUACCAGAAACCAGUAUCAGACAUCAUAAAUCCAGUGAUGAACACACAUCAUUUAUCAACAGGAUAUCUACAUAGGCAAUUGUACCUGUCUGUCAAUCUUCUUUCGCUCAGCCGGCUGAUCUUCCUCCACUGGAACUACAGAUGCUUUUAUAUUCUCUACCUUCCUAGGUUCCAGGAAUCCUAUCACCUUACUGAUCAAACCAAUCCUUUCUUUCCCAGGAACAUCUUCCAUCAGAGCCCACAUCUCUCCACCUUCUUCCUUGAGCUCAAACCCGGCAAGCUCCAACAACUCUACCCCUCCAGCAACAUCAGUCACUGCUUCCCUAAUCUUAGGGUUCCCCAUUCUGACUCUCCUAAACUUGACAUUCUCAGGGUCCUUAACAAUGUUCCUAAAUAAUCUCAGCACAACCUCCACAGAACCCUCCGGCGGCUUCCCAGACAAAUAGGCAGCAACAGAGCUCUCAUCCAAAAAACUUGCUUCUUCAUCAAUUUUACCAUCAGAAACAGCAUUGAUGUUGUCAUCACCACCGCCGGAAGUGACAUCAACAACUCUGACACCUUCAGUCACGCAGCUCUCGACGUGAGCAGAUACAUCCUCCUCCGAUCUAUAGGCUUGCCCACAAAUCGGGCAUUCAAACACAUUCAGUGAAUAUCCAUUCUUGGAUCUUUCACUGCUCGUUAUCAAAGGACCAAAAGCGUCGAACCCAUUAGCGGGCUUGGGAAUUGGGGCUGAGGAAGAAGUCGGAGCUGAUCUCUUCGGAGGCGACGGUUUGGAAUUGGAAUUAGAAGAAGGGUUGGAAGUGGGUUUCGGAUUAACAGGUUGAGAAAAACGAGCGUAGACUGAAUUAGAAGAAUCGGAGGAGGAAGAAGAAGAAGAAGAAUUAGUGCCAAGAACUCGACCUUGGCCUUUGAAUUUACCGGAGGAGGAGGAAGAUGACAACUGGGUAUUCACUUUCUUCACGAAUCCCUUGAACUUGUCUUUCAUAUCAUCCAUUUUUUUUUUCUUCUAAUCGAAAGAAUCAAAGAGAUUUACGGGAGUGAUGAACGGCGAUAUCGAGAAACAAUUAGGCGAUUUGUGACUUAUCGUCGGCCUUGGGCAGCAAGCAAGUCUUCCCUCAGCUGAGGAACGGAGGAAAUUAACAACAGGAGAUGCCGGAGAAAAGCAUUAAAGCAAGGAAGAAAGAAAGGGGUCAAAAGCAUAAUCGGUCACUUAUAUUUGAAAUAGAUGACAGAGCAGUCAUCUAAGUAUUAAGAAAUCACGAUGAUAGAAAGCUGGUGAAUACUGAAUAGAACGAAAUUAGUAAAAUUAUUUUUUAGUUUUUUUUUUCAAUUUUCACACCUGCAAAAGAACUGCCUCAGGUUUGGAAUUUUUAUCUAUUAACGAAAUACAAUUAUUUUAUGAUUUUAAACUGGUUAAAAUUGAAGCAUUUUUUAAUUAUUAUUUGAUGUCUUUUAAGUGCCAUAAUAUAUUCAGAAUAAAAAAAUAUUACUAUUUAUUUUAUAUCGACAUAAAAAAAUAUAAAUUAAAUUUUGUAUUUACAAACUAAACGUAAUUUAACUUAUAACUAAAAAAGGAUGUUGUAAUUUGUUUUUCUCCAUCACAUUUAAUUGAUGUUGGAAGAUGUUUUAGAAAACCGUAUAAAGUAACUAAUAAGAUUAACAACUUAAUACUCAAAUGUUAUAAUUAUUUGUUAAACAAUGAAAAAGUUCAUUAGUCCAUUAGAACAAACUACUAUAGUCCAUCAGAAAGAUUUUGUAACUAAUUUGGAUAUGACAUGUUCAAUUUACAAUUUAGGUAAAGAUGAAUGGCAGCAUUAUUUUGGUAUGUUGUCAAUUGCGAAAUGAUUGCAUUGCUACAUUUGGAAGUUAGCUUAUCAUUCCAAUAUAUAUUGCAAAGUUAGAUGACCGAUAAUGUUUUUUUAUCCAAGAAGAGUUUAAUGUUCCAGAAAUGUAGGAACUUAUUUGUGAAAUACAACAAAAGAAGGAUCGAUAAUACCAUUGUCUGAGAUAUUAAUGAUUGCAAUAGUAAUUUGACGUGGCCUUAACCCUUCUAUUGCUCCUCCAAAACCCCAGAAUUUCCCCAUUAGCAAACGAAGGGUAAUGAUUCAUCAGUUCAACAAGGAUGGGGAGAAAGGAGAAAGAGCAGCUCAAUCAAGUGCUAAAUUCGCACCUUAACACCAUCCACGACACCUUACAGGUUCUUCCUUCUUUCCCCGAAUCGAAUUUUUUUAGGCUAAAGUGCGGAUGUGAUUUUCUGAUUCUAAAUUCCUCAUUUUUCACAGGUUUUGGAUCAAACACCAGCUUCGUCUUUGGAAAAAGUUAGCUGGGAUGACGUUCUGAAAAUGGGAGAUCAAGUCUACAGGCAAGCUACUAUUGGUACUUUCCAUGCAUUUCUUCAUUCCCUUUUUGUUGAUUCUAUUCUGUUGAAGUUUACGGCUUCAAUUAGUUAUCUUUUCUUCUAUUGCAAUCUGAUUUAUGUUCUUAAGGUUUUCUAUGUUCUCAUUUAUAGUCUGAAAGGGGAGAUAACUAUCGUCUAUCGGUGAUACUUGACAGAAUAGUGAUUCCUCUUCAUUAUCGUUUGGGUUGUUAGGUAGCUUUCAUUCUAGUUUACUUUGCAGCGACUAAUCAGUUGGAAUGCAGUAACCGAACCGAUGAAUGUUUCUAUGACUAUAUAUGUAUGUAGUUGGGAUGCUUUGGACGGGAGAAAGGCUCGAAGAUAAAGCGAUUGAGGAGAACAUGGCGACUUAUUUCAAUACGCUGCAAGGGUUCCUUCUACUUUCUCAUGGAAGUAGAGUUGGAGCAGGGGCUACUCUUUCGACGAGUAUCUAUGCAUCUGCAAAGCAAGUUGUUGAUUGCAGUUUUAAGUUGAUGAGUGAGACUGUUGCUUCAUAUGGUAAUGAUCACUCACUCCUCUCUCUCUCUCUUGAUAAAUUCCGACAUGUGGUCCAACAGUAUAGCGAAUUUAUCAAUUUAUAUGCUCACAUGUUCUUAGCUCAAGUAGUAAAAUGUUUGUGUAGUACAACAGAAUAUGUGGGAGCUGUAUUCGUAUCCGGCUAGUUAAAGGCUUAUCUUUUUUCUAGUCUAACUCGAUUGUGCUAAUGAUGUAACAUAUGCUAGAAUUUAUAGUGAACUUUAUCACAAAGAUAGACAAUGAUGACUGAGACUUGAACAAGUCAAGAAUGCUUACUGGUAGUUCCGUUAGGAAUAAUUCCUGUUCAAUUUAGUUCAAAGGAUGUGUUACAAAUUAUCUUUCAAGAAGUCAGUCUUCCAGAAUACCGAUGUUAGAAUAUUUGGCAAACUGAGGUUUCCUCUUUAACUUGAAUGAACUUAUGUCUCCAUGAGGUCCUAUGGCAUGUUUUCAUGGUUCAAUUGGAUUAUAUUCUGGUUAGUCAUGAUUUGGUCAUAGAUCAAUUAAGCCAAUGAUUCUUUCAAACGUGUGAUCUAUAGGUCUUUGCAAUAUUUUCCUGACCUGUGAAAUCGGAAACUUGCAGGAUCCCGUAACAAAGACCUGAAGCUAUUAGUACCACAGCUGGUUGGUGCAGUAUGGGAAGCAUGUACUGCGGUGAAGAAGACACCUUCAACUAAUACUACAGCUAUUGGCCGAGCAAUGACAAGAGUUGCAGUUUCAAUGAAAGAUGUUCUCCGCGAGAUGAAUGAACUAAAGCCCGAGUCUCCAGAUCCCACUGUCUCUGAUGGUGCAGUUGCUGAAGGUGGUACCUUCAGUGACGACGAUGAUCUUGGUAACGACUUGUCACCUGAAGACAUGAAAGUUGCUGAAUUGGCAACUGAGGUCGUGUCUCAGGCCCUUGUAUUCAUAAAGGAACUAGUCCGCACCAUCUCUGGAUUGAUUAAGCUGGAAAAACCUAACGACAGUGGCAGCUUUGUGGAUACAUUAGAAAAGUUACUAAAACUGUGCCAGGGGAUCGGAGAGCAGAUUGAUGAAUUGGGAGCCUGUCUUUACCCUCCACAGGAGUUCCCCGCCAUGAAGACUGCUUUGGAUAAGAUAUCGAACAAGGUUGACGAAGCGAGGAUAUGCGUGGAAAGUUUGAACUGCUCUGCAGAAUCUUUCUUCCAGGGAUGUACUAGUUUGAAGAGUUCAAUAAAACUAAUGGAGACAGAACUAGAUUUCUCCAUGACCACUGAUUUAGGUGAUAGAUUGCAGAAUGUCAGUUUGAACCAGUAAAAGUAAGAUUCCUCAGCCCAUCAUCUUACAGGAGUGAAGAUGUGAUUUUUUUUGGAGUGAGGAGUGUUGCCAGAGUACGUGUUCCUGAAUUUUCUUUUGUAGCUCGACAGAUUAAGGUCCUCGUAUUUGAGUGCUUUCAUGAUGUUGCCUUAAUCCUUUGAAGAUUUGCUUAUAAUUUCAUGACAUAAAAUGUUAAUUAGCCUCAUUUGAAUGGUAAAUUUGUAAAAUUUACAUCCCAAUCAUAUCGUAAUAAACUCUCAAUUCUCAGAUUAUCUCUGUAACUAUCCCUCAACUCAACAAUGAAAAGUUGGAGAAUUAUUAUUGAACACUCACUCUUGUCAAUAAACUUAACCCAAAGAAUCAAACCGAAUUACAAACACAAAAAAAACUCAAAUCAACUUAAAAAAUUUAGAUGGUCCUUUUAAUUUAGCACUUGGGAAGGUCAGCUGGUGGGGAGAGCAGCUUCUGGCUAGGGAGCUUUCCAUCCAAAACAAUCCAUGCCAUCUUGAGACCCCAACUUGUAUGAACUUCUAAAUGGCAAUGCAUGAACCACACUCCCGGGUUGUCAGCCAGGAACCGAAUCGCAACCCACCCACCGGGCGGCACUCCGACAGUGUUCCUCUCAACAGGGUCAACAAGAUUGAACUUUGCAGGAUCUUUAACAUGGUCGCAGUUUCCGAAACCCUGACCGACGACAAAGAAGUUGAAUCCAUGCAAAUGAAGAGGAUGGCUCUCAGCACCAAGAAUGCUCGUGUCCUGCAUUAUCAGCUCCACGCUUGUAUUGAAAGGUAACACCACUAGCUUCGUGCCGUUUCCUACCAUUGUAUUGUUUGGUGGGUUUCCUGUGUAGUUGAAAGGAAUCAAAGGGCUGAUGGGGAAGUAAGGAGAAUACACGGAAUGUGAUUGACUGGUGUAAUGUGCGUGGAGCAAAGCCGUGGUUGGCAUUGCGAACGAAACAUUGUUGACCGAUGCUGCAAACAUCGUUCCGUUGGGUCCCUGGCAGGUUCUGUUCUUCGGGCAAGGGUUGGUUCCUAACCCAACUGUAAAGAAGAACUGCCUAUCCACCUGUUGUGGAACAUUGGCUGGGAACUGUUUGGUUCCCAGACUGCGAAGCUUGUCGGUGAAGUUUGUGGCAAAGGCAGUGUCGUUGAGAGCCGGUAAGGUUGGUUUGAAGACUGGGAGACUUUUCAUAGAAGAAGGGGAUUCAUCAUCAUAUUCCAUGAUUCCAGCAACUGUCGAGUUGUCGAAAGUGCCUUGGCCAGUCGCGUACGGGGAAGCCAACAUGAGAAAUGUGGCGUCAGGGUGAUGCGGCUUGGCUUUCAGCAGAACAUUCGUGGUUUGUCCUGGAGCUAUGAGGAUGACGUCUGUGUUGAAUGGCUUCACGUAAACUGCAUCGGCUUCGACCACUGUGAGGGUGUGGUUUGCAAUGCUGAAGAAGAGCUCAUCGUUCAGGGCAGCGUUGAUUAGGCGCAACAUGUACGUCUUUCCUGGCUUCACCUUCAGCUUGAAUGUGUCUGCUAGUAUUAAGUUAGUUCGACAUCAGACUCAUAAAAAACAAAGUAAAUUGGACUACAACAAAGCCGUAUAAAAUUCUUACACUAAGUAUGAUAAGAGCCAUGGAAAAGAGUUUGCAAGUGGCCUAAAUCACAACUCAUAAUAGUUGAAAACGGUAACUCUGUUAUUACCUUUGGCAGAGCAGUUAUAUAAAGGUCCUGGGAGUCCAUUAAUGGUGUAUGCAUUGGAGACAUUCGGACCUCCACCGGUUUGCAUGGCCUGGUUGAUGAUUGCUUCAGUAGCUGCAUUAAACCACUCCCCUGCAGAGGAAAGCAAGGAUUGAUCAAACAAUGUUGACAUAGAAAAGAGAUCAAUGUAUGUGAAUUAAGUAUAUUUAAUUUGUACCAAAGACUAUGGGAACUUCUUUGUAAGGUUUCUUGAAAGGGUAAGGGACACCAAGCUUUGGGAGGAUGAUGAGGGGACCAUAAACAGUUGAUCUGAGCCACGAGAUGUGUGCAUGCCACCAAAGGGUGCCUCUUUGGCCUACUAUCGUGUAGUUGUAAACAUAGCUUUGCCCUGUCUGAACAGGACACUGGGUUAUGUACGCAGGCCCGUCUGCCCACCCGCUUCUAAGCUGUCGGAUCCCAUGCCAGUGGAUCGAGAUAUUGUUACUGACAUGAUUGACCACUUUGAUAAGAAGCCGAUCGCCUUCCCUGGCCACGAUCCUAGGCCCCGGAAACUGUCCAUUCACGGUCACCAUGGUCUUCGUGUGGCACAGCCGCGUCACAUUUUGUUGCAUUACAUCGAGCUUAUAGUGCCUUGUGGCGGCAUGUCCUGACUCGGCAAAUGCAAGCAAACAUAUCACUGCUAGGAACAACAUUGCUAUUCUGGUUAGAGAGAAAUAGGUUGGUGAUUGAGAGGGUAUGAGAAAAUGUGAUGAGUGGUGGAGGGAAAUGUGGAUUGUGUUUAUAUAGCUAAGGGAGCUAGCUUCAAGAAGAACAUCUUAUGGUUGGAAAUGUGAUAUCACCAAAUAAAUAAAACACAGUAUUGUAGAGUAGAAGAAGAGGGAAAAGAGAGAUUAAGCAAGCUUUCAUUCAUGGGGUGAUAUUGCAUAUAUACAUCAGUUAGUUCCAAGUAUGUUAGGAAGGAACAUACAACUGUAUAUAGAGUGAAGUGGAAGUCAAUUUAUGGUGCUUGACCAGAGUUUUGCAUGCUAAUUGCUGUGAUCAGAGUUUCGAUGAUUUCUUAAUUUGUAAAAAUCAGAGUUAGAAAGAUUGGGUGCGAGUUGUGUUAUGUUUAGGGUUAAGCAGUAUCACUGUCAGGAUCGGAUGAAGAGGGAAGAAGAGAAUGGCCAAAAGCUAUUCCCCUUUAAGCAAUAAGCUGUAUUGAUACUGUCUUUCUACCAGCUACUUCCACUUUCCUACAAAGCUAGCUUUUAUCUAUCUUUCCAAACAAUUCUUAAAGUUACCUAGAACACUUGUGUAUUUAUUUCAUGUUUCCUAAUCUAUCCAAUGGAAAAAUAAACUUUUUUAAAAAUCUCUUACAUCCUUUAAUUUUACAUUCUGUUCAUAAUCCCUUCCAACCUCAACUUAAAUUUGAAAUACCAUUAAUAAUUAAACACUUAUAUUUUUAUGUAGAAUAGUCCAUUUUUAUAAUUAUAAUAAUAACAUCUUAAAUCAAUCUAAUAUAUGACUCAACUAACACAAAGGGGUCAAUUGACGUUAUAUUUUUGUAAAUUAAUCCGGUCACGAGUCAUUAUCUUUGGACCUAUUCAAAACCAUAAUUGGGUUAAAUUAGACAUAUUUAUCAAACCUAAGUAUAGUCCACAAACAUGUUUCUUAUUUCAAUAUUCUUUUAACGGACCAGUUAGUCAUUGAAAAAUGAGCUCAUGAAAUUACUUAAUCCUUCAUUCAAAAUCCUUUUAGUUGAGUAAAUUGAAGCUGCAUUUCGUAAGUUAAUAGCGUUAUGAGUCAUUAUCUCUUGACCAAAACUAACCGAGUUGAGUUGGUUUGAAUUGGACAUAUCUAUAAAACAUAAAUAGAGUUCACAAAAUAAUAUUAUCUUUCUUUAUAAUUCUUUUAGCGAGUCACUUGAUGUUACAUUUUCUUAAGUUAAUGGGGAUAUUUACAACUAAAAGCAGUAUAAUGAAUUUGUUUUUAUUUUAAAUUAGUAUUACGAUUAAUUACUCAUUACACAUACAAAACUCGCCGGUGGCACAUAUAUUAUAUUUACAACUAAAAGCAGUAUAAUGAAUUUGUUUUUAUUUUAAAUUAGUAUUAGGAUUAAUUCGUCAAUUGAUUAUUCGAUACACAUACAAACUUUUAAUUCAAAUCCGACUCAGUGCAUGUUUCCAUCCUGGUUCCAUCGUUGCAUGCUGCAACUAGAUUUAUAUAUUCGUUUUUAAUGAAUCAAAAUAAUCAACAUGAAAUGAGUCCGAAACAGUUUUGGUAUAAAAUAUUGAAUAAAAAAGAAAAUAAAAAUAAUUGCAUAAUUUGUGUAGUUAUUCCAUCCACAAAAUUUAUUUUAUUUUGCGUAGCUUUGUUAGUCAUUAUGAUUUAGAUAGACUAUAAUUGGAAAUUUUAGUUUCGGAUAUGUGUCAAUUGGUCAUAAUGAUCUUUAUAGGAUUUUCAGACAGUAAAAUACAUAAUAUGAAAAAACAUAAAAAUUAUCGUUCCUGAAAAUACAUAUAGUUUCUUCCUUCGUUCCGCCAUUUCUCGUUUGGAUGAGUAACCAAACCAAUAACUAGAAUUAUUAUGCCUAUUACAAACUUACAUUAAGAUUGCAAGGAUUCACUCAUUCUAAAUUAAAAAAAAAAGAACAUUAUUUUUCUUAGUUAUAGGAAAAAUAUUUGCUAAUUUAUAUGUUUUUCCUUUGAAUAAAUAGAUGUGGAAAAUAUUUCGGAAAUUCAGAUAGGCAAAUGAAGAAAAUAAUUGACGAAUUAAUAAUUUGGUGUUGUAAGUUUAAAAUUAAUAUAUAAUAUUGUAGCCAUUAUAAUUUCGUCUUCAAUAUGUUUAUAAAUGACAAGCAUAUUGUAGCUUGGUGUCGCGGCUACCGCUAGGCAAUUGUUCGGAUAUACCCCAAAGGAAAAGACCAAAACAAAAAAAGAAGAAGUACGUCCGUAGAGGCUUCUUCCUUUCAGAGUGCCAUGGAUCAAAGAUCUGAGAAACAAUGUGCAAUCACCCAAGAAUAAUCAAUCGGCUUCUCAAUAUUCUCCCCAGCCGGACUAAGAGAAUCCCACAUUAUAAGAGAACACAGUGCCAAUUAUUAUCAAUUUUAUCAUCACUACACACAGCACUAUUUCCCUUCCUUGUUCCCCCCUUUAGCAUUACUAUAUAUUCCCAAGGUGUAUUCAACAUCAUGCAUGUGGAGAAGAUCAAUGCUGUGUGCGUCAUCUUACUUCUGCACUGCUUCAUCCGUAAGUUAUAAGUUUUAUGGAAAACGCUUCGGGAUCUUGAGGAUAUCAAUAUUUUCUAUAUACAAUUUUGCUAUAUAUAUUUUGUGCUUAAAAUUUAAAUUUUGAGGUUGAAGAUUGUAUUUAGGAUUCAGGGUAUAGUGCUAGGGGUUAGAGUUUCAUAUUUAGGGUUUAGAAUCUAUUAAUUUUGAUUUAUGGUUAAAAGUUAGGGUUUAUGAUACGAUUUUGAGUUUGAGUUUAUGAUACAACGUUUGAGGGUAGGAUUUAUGUUUAGGGUGUCAGCAUCAUUUUCUAGUAUCUAGGGUUUACCGAGCAAAGGGUUAUUCUAACUGCGUUUAACUAGCCAAUCAAUCACACUCAUGGCCGGGCUUCAGUAGUUGCGAAGGAUCUUCAAUAUCACUCGCCAGUCCUCGUUGAUGGAGUUUCGCAAAUACCAAAAGAAGUACACGAUUUUGGUUUUGAAGCAAUGAAAUACUCGACUUGUUGGAAGCUUGGUAAGUAACCAUGUUCAAUUAUCCCAUAUAUUAACGGAGAAUACUUACUGCCAGACAAUUAAAUUAUUUUUUUAAUGAUUGGUAUAUGAUAAUGAAUUUUUUGAAAUGAUAAUGUAUAAAUGUGUAAUUACACAAAAUAUGUGUCAAUCCGAGUUUUUUCUGCCUAAAAUCAUCUUAAGUUAAAGCAGAAAAAGCUUAUGUUAUUGAACUAAAAUAACAUAAAUAUAUAAUAUAUAUUAGAUUCAUCAUCCACCCGUUGGUCAGUUUAUGUUUUGUUAUUUUUUAAAAUUAUUUUUCAUGUUUUUUUCCGUUGAUAAUAUAUCUUUGUUUGUAAAUGGAUUUUGAUUAGGGAUGAAAAUCGUGACUUUGUGUUUUGGAUAAUCCCGAAUCCGCAUAGAAUAUACUUUACUCUCAAAUGUUCCAGACAUGAAAUGUAAAUUAGAUGGUUACAUAUUCAUGAAUACACAUUUACUCGCUCGGAUAAACCCCUAAUCAUAUUCUACCCAUUUACCCUAAUUAUCAACUACCCACAACCCUAUUAUCUAAUAAUUUCCAAAAACCAAAACACUACAUAUAUCAUAACAUUUUGUAUUCACAGUUUUACAUAUAACGAAAUCUCAUACAUAUUGCUAGGUACUAGCAAAGUCGGAGUUGUUUUGGUUUAUGGUUUUUUUUUUUUUAUGGGGUUUGUAGAAAAAAAAANNNNNNNNNNNNNNNNNNNNNNNNNNNNNNNNNNNNNNNUUUUUGUACUCUUUAUAAAUAUUUUGAAUGGAAUUUGGAUAUGAGGACAGAUGGUUACCCAAUCGUGUAUUGAUAUGUGGUACUUGUCUGUAUUGUGGAUACCUAUAGUUUUCAAAUGAGUUUGAGAUUUGGGAAUGAAUUUUUCUAUCUUUGUAAUAGUUACCCGUGAGUUCGGGUUUGGGUACUAAAACUUGUUUUGAAUUCCAGCCAUAAUCGGAAUAAGUUANNNNNNNNNNNNNNNNNNNNNNNNNNNNNNNNNNNNNNNNNNNNNNNNNNNNNNNNNNNNNNNNNNNNNNNNNNNNNNNNNNNNNNNNNNNNNNNNNNNNNNNNNNNNNNNNNNNNNNNNNNNNNNNNNNNNNNNNNNNNUAAAAUUUAAUUUUAAAAUUAUUUGAAGAAAAUGUGUAGUCUUAAUCAUGAUAUGAGGAUGGCAAGGGAAGUUGUACAAAAUAGAACAAAUUAUCUUAAAAUUUAUGAGUUUUUAUUAAAUUAAACAAUGAACCACUUACAUUUUCAAUAGUACAAUCACAAAUUACAAAUAGUUUAUUAUCUAUGUUGCAUUUUUAGUCUACAAUUCAUAUAUUCGAACUUGUAUUCGAGUUGAUUUUCGAGUUCGAGCUAGCUCGUAAACCUAUCGAAUUAAACUUAUGUUCUAACUCAUUCAAAAUCAAACCAAAUCAUAAACGAACUUUUUUCAAACCAAACAUCAAACUACCCCAAAUAGCUGCAAAGCAUAUACCUAGUUUUAAUGAAGAUAAGAAACAUAGCAAACGUCUACGACUUAAUAGUGAGUAAUUAGCAGAAUUGCAGGCUCUGUUGGCCUUUUCCUGUGCCGCCCAAAAUAGCAUCCCAUAAGCAAGAAAGUGCAAACAGUCAUGUACUCGACAAAUUUAUUUGUGUUACGUACACGUAACUUUGAGUUUAUUAUUUUGAGUGUUAUGGGAACCUCAAAACUGGAGUUCAACGGCCUCAAAUUCAUUUUAGAAAAAUAAUGGUCCUGCUUUCAGAAUAGGGUAAAGACGGAAUAUCAGAAACUUGCAUGAUUGAAUGCAUACUUUACGCCGAUCACCAACAACCCCUAGUCCACCUCCGCUCGUAAGUCCACGCCCGCCGAAGAUACCAUUUUUACAAUAAAUCAUAUAUAAUAUAAAAUUUUACUAAUGAAAAUGCAAAUGAUACAUGAUUAGUAUAAUUUAUAAAUUGUAAGAUAAUUUGUAAUUUUAGCUUGAUUCAUUGGUGUUUUUCAGUGUUCAAAGUUCAAACUCACCUUAAAUUAGACUCAUGAAGGAUUUCGAUGAGCAAAAUUUGAGUUCAAUUCAAAUCUGAUUCGUAAACAGUAGUUAACGAAUUAAAUUCAAAUAAACUCAAACAUGAUACGAGAUAAAAUUAUCUAACUCAAAUUCAAUCUCACAUAAAAAAAUAACAAACCAAACUUAAAAAGCAUAUAAUUCAACUUGCUUCGGUUUCGGACCGCCCUGAUUGCUUUCUGGUUUAAAUUCAUUGCGGUGACAUCUUGUUCAAUUUAUGAGCCGAGCCAAAUAAAUGAAAAUAUUUAAUGGGCCUAUAAAUGCCAGGCCCAAUAAUUCCGACAUUACGUAGGUGAAGGUAGUUGGGACAAACUCUGGAUCCAGAGGGAUGCAGUCACGGAUUCAGAGAUGGAGAGUGGAGACUGGAGAGACGCUUACUGAAUUACUGUAUUUAUUUACUAUUAGCAUUCGAUGGAGUUGUUGAUCGAUCAUAAAUCUGGAGAAUGGUGACAAGUCAGCUUGUUCGCUUAUACUCUCUCCCUCUCUCUGUAGGUGCAUUCAUGUCGAGAAACAACUUCCAUUCUUCAGAGUGAAAUGCAGAGAUUGCAUAAAAUUUGCAGCAUAAAUGGUCACCCAAUUUUCCCGGCAAAUUAGCUUUCCCGCCAUUUACGAAGUAACCUUUGACCAUUUAUCCAAGUAACAAUUUCUAUAUAUGGAAACUCAAACCAACUCUACUUGAUUAGGAUUCACAAUCAUUUCUAAACAUUCUUAUCAUUCUUUUUCUGGAAAAAAAACUUGGUUGUUCCUCCCAAUCAAGAAGAGAAGUUAACCAAAAUUCAAAAAAUCAACAAUGGAGGGAACGGAAGCAGAGGAAGAAGGAAACACCAAGUACACGUCAUCAACAAACAGGAAGAGCAGCAAGAAGAAAAGGAUUGAGCUAGGGAUCUCAUGUAUGCUCAACACCGAGGUUGCCUCCGUCCUCGCCGUCCUCCGUCGCCCACCGCCCGAUCCCACGGCGGCGCAGUUCCUUUCCCAAGAGGAUCAGUACGAUACCGCCCUCGUCCACUCUUUCAAAUCCCUCCGUACAUUGAUUUUCAACCCUCCUCAGGACUGGCAGACCAUGGACCCCGCCGUCUACCUCACGCCAUUCCUCGACGUCAUUCAAUCCGACGAGAUUCCCUCUGCUGCUACCUCCAUCGCUCUCUACUCCGUCCUUAAGCUCCUCAGCGUCGGAAUCUUCGACGAGCGGACCACCGGAGCAAGGGACGCCANNNNNNNNNNNNNNNNNNNNNNNNNNNNNNNNNNNNNNNNNNNNNNNNNNNNNNNNNNNNNNNNNNNNNNNNNNNNNNNNNNNNNNNNNNNNNNNNNNNNNNNNNNNNNNNNNNNNNNNNNNNNNNNNNNNNNNNNNNNNNNNNNNNNNNNNNNNNNNNNNNNNNNNNNNNNNNNNNNNNNNNNNNNNNNNNNNNNNNNNNNNNNNNNNNNNNNNNNNNNNNNNNNNNNNNNNNNNNNNNNNNNNNNNNNNNNNNNNNNNNNNNNNNNNNNNNNNNNNNNNNNNNNNNNNNNNNNNNNNNNNNNNNNNNNNNNNNNNNNNNNNNNNNNNNNNNNNNNNNNNNNNNNNNNNNNNNNNNNNNNNNNNNNNNNNNNNNNNNNNNNNNNNNNNNNNNNNNNNNNNNNNNNNNNNNNNNNNNNNNNNNNNNNNNNNNNNNNNNNNNNNNNNNNNNNNNNNNNNNNNNNNNNNNNNNNNNNNNNNNNNNNNNNNNNNNNNNNNNNNNNNNNNNNNNNNNNNNNNNNNNNNNNNNNNNNNNNNNNNNNNNNNNNNNNNNNNNNNNNNNNNNNNNNNNNNNNNNNNNNNNNNNNNNNNNNNNNNNNNNNNNNNNNNNNNNNNNNNNNNNNNNNNNNNNNNNNNNNNNNNNNNNNNNNNNNNNNNNNNNNNNNNNNNNNNNNNNNNNNNNNNNNNNNNNNNNNNNNNNNNNNNNNNNNNNNNNNNNNNNNNNNNNNNNNNNNNNNNNNNNNNNNNNNNNNNNNNNNNNNNNNNNNNNNNNNNNNNNNNNNNNNNNNNNNNNNNNNNNNNNNNNNNNNNNNNNNNNNNNNNNNNNNNNNNNNNNNNNNNNNNNNNNNNNNNNNNNNNNNNNNNNNNNNNNNNNNNNNNNNNNNNNNNNNNNNNNNNNNNNNNNNNNNNNNNNNNNNNNNNNNNNNNNNNNNNNNNNNNNNNNNNNNNNNNNNNNNNNNNNNNNNNNNNNNNNNNNNNNNNNNNNNNNNNNNNNNNNNNNNNNNNNNNNNNNNNNNNNNNNNNNNNNNNNNNNNNNNNNNNNNNNNNNNNNNNNNNNNNNNNNNNNNNNNNNNNNNNNNNNNNNNNNNNNNNNNNNNNNNNNNNNNNNNNNNNNNNNNNNNNNNNNNNNNNNNNNNNNNNNNNNNNNNNNNNNNNNNNNNNNNNNNNNNNNNNNNNNNNNNNNNNNNNNNNNNNNNNNNNNNNNNNNNNNNNNNNNNNNNNNNNNNNNNNNNNNNNNNNNNNNNNNNNNNNNNNNNNNNNNNNNNNNNNNNNNNNNNNNNNNNNNNNNNNNNNNNNNNNNNNNNNNNNNNNNNNNNNNNNNNNNNNNNNNNNNNNNNNNNNNNNNNNNNNNNNNNNNNNNNNNNNNNNNNNNNNNNNNNNNNNNNNNNNNNNNNNNNNNNNNNNNNNNNNNNNNNNNNNNNNNNNNNNNNNNNNNNNNNNNNNNNNNNNNNNNNNNNNNNNNNNNNNNNNNNNNNNNNNNNNNNNNNNNNNNNNNNNNNNNNNNNNNNNNNNNNNNNNNNNNNNNNNNNNNNNNNNNNNNNNNNNNNNNNNNNNNNNNNNNNNNNNNNNNNNNNNNNNNNNNNNNNNNNNNNNNNNNNNNNNNNNNNNNNCGGAAUCUUCGACGAGCGGACCACCGGAGCAAGGGACGCCAUCAACUCCGUCGUCAUGGGGAUCACCGGAUGCCGAUUGGAACGAACGGAUCCCGUCUCGGAAGACGCCGUUAUGAUGCGGAUCCUCCAGAUCUUGACGGCGAUCAUGAAGCAUCAGGCUGCCAUUCUGUUAACGGAUCAGGCCGUGUGUACGGUGGUCAACACUUGUUUCCAGGUGGUUCAGCAAUCGGCGAGUAGAGGGGAUUUGCUUCAACGGAGUGCUAGGUAUACGAUGCACGAAUUGGUCCGUAUGAUUUUUGCGAAAUUGCAGGAUAUUGAAGUGAACCCUGGGGAGGAAUCGGAUACGGACAUGGACGAUGCCGAUUUCGAUGGGAAUCUGGAUUCAGGGUAUGGAAUUCGUUGCGCUGUUGAUAUCUUCCAUUUCUUGUGUUCGUUGCUCAAUGUUGUGGAAGUUGUGGAGAGUGAAGGGAAUUUGUAUCGUACUUCUGAUGAGGAUGUUCAGCUUUUCGCAUUGGUAUUGAUAAAUUCGGCCAUCGAGUUGAGUGGAGACGUGGUUGGGAGUCACCCCAAGCUUCUUCGGAUGAUCCAAGACGAUUUAUUCCAUCAUUUAAUCCAUUAUGGAGCAUCUUCCAGCCCCCUCAUUUUGUCCAUGAUCUGUAGCACAGUUUUGAACAUUUACCAUUUCCUUCGCAGGUCAGGAAUUUCUACAGCUCUUCAAUUUACUUCUAUAUUCAAAUUCUUGGCUAAUUGGUGUAAUCCUUUUAUUUAUAGGUUUGUUCGUCUUCAACUUGAGGCAUUCUUCAAGUACGUGUUGUUGAGAGUUGCAGCAAAUGGAGUUUCAACUCAGCUUCAAGAAGUUGCACUUGAGGGAAUCGUUGAUUUUUGUAGGCAGCCAACUUUUAUCAUUGAAGCAUAUGUGAACUAUGACUGUGAUCCACUAUGCAUUAACAUGUUUGAGGAAACUGCAAAGUUGCUCUGCAAGCUGUCAUUUCCAGGAGCAAGUCUUGCAACGUCAUUACAAGCUCAAGCAUUUGAAGGUCUAGUUGGGAUCAUUCACAACAUAGCCGAGAACAUCAACAGGGAAGGUGAUUCCACGCCUUCUGGACCGUACCCGGUUCACUUGACAGAGUACAGUAAGUUCUGGCAAGACAGGCCUUUGGAGAAUAACGAUGCAUCUGUGGCAUAUAUGAGGAUAAGAAAAGUACAAAAGAGGAAAAUUUUGGUUGCUUCAAACCAUUACUCUAGAGAUGAGAAGAAAGGGUUGGAGUAUUUGAGGCUAAGUUUGAUGUUUCCUAAUCCUCCAGAUCCUAAAGAUUUUGCUUUCUUCUUUCGAUUCACACCGGGGUUAGACAAGACUAUGAUUGGAGAUUACUUGGGUGAUCCUGAUGAUUUCCACAUUCAGGUUCUGAAAGAGUUCAGUUGUACUUUUGGGUUCUCAGGAAUGGUUCUUGACACUGCUCUCCGUACUUAUCUUGCCACCUUCAGGUUGCCUGGAGAGUCCCAAAAAAUCCAGAGAAUAAUGGAAGCUUUCUCGGAUCAAUUCUAUGAGCAACAAUCUUCCGAUAUUUUCGCAACUAAAGAUGCAGUUUUCGUCCUUUGUUACUCUCUCAUUAUGCUCAAUACUGACCAGCACAAUCCUCAGGUCAAGAAGAAGAUGACAGAGGAAGAGUUCAUCAGGAACAAUAGGGCUAUCAAUGCUGGACAGGAUCUCCCUAGGGAAUACCUCUCCGAGCUUUUCCAAUCGAUAUCUUCUAAAGCAAUUGCACUCUUCGGACAAACUGGACAGCAAGACAUGAAUCCUGGACUGUGGAUAGAGCUGAUGGGUGCUUCCAGAUAUUUGCAACCCUUCACUCUUUAUGAUUUCGACCGUCGUCUCGGGAGAGAUAUGUUUGCCUCCGUUGCUGGUCCGGCAGUUGCAGCCCUCACCGCAUUUUUCGAGCAAUCUGAUGAGGAUGAAAUGUUCCACGAAUGCGUUGAAGCAUUGAUUUCGGUAGCCAGAAUAGUACAGUAUGGCCUGGAAGAUACGCUAGACGAGAUGCUUGCCUCAUUGUGUAAAUGUACCACACUACUGAAUCCUUAUGCAUCGGCAGAAGAGACAUUGUUUGCCUUUAGCCAUGAUCUGAAGCCCAGAAUGGCUGUACUUGCAGUCUUCAGCAUUGCGAAUAAUUUCGGCUGUGGGAUUCGAGGAGCGUGGAGGCCAAUCUUGGACUGUCUGUUGAAGCUGAAAAAGCUCAAGUUGCUUCCUUCAUCUGUAGUUGAGAUACACAAUUCUUUAGCGCCUUCCGUUGAUUCGUCAUCUGACCAUUCUAGAAAUGACGGUGGCUUAAUUUUCCCAUCUCAUGAAUCAAAAUCAUCAGGUGGCAGCAAUCGCCAGAGCUCAACCAUGAUUGGCAGAUUCUCUCAAUUUUUGUCUCCUGACAGUAUGGAAGAAUCCUUGUCUCUCGGCCUGAAUGAAUUCGAGCAGAAUCAAAAAGUUAUCAAGCAGUGUCAGAUCGGGAGCAUAUUCACCAACAGCUGGAACUUGUCGGAUGAAACUCUAGCAUAUCUAGGUCGUACUCUAAUCUUUGCAUCAGCAGGCAAAGGGCAGAAAUUUGCGACGCCAAUCGAGGAAGAAGAAACCAUAGAAUUCUGUUGGGAUUUGAUAGUUGCUCUAUCUUUUGCCAACAUUAACCGGUUACAUAACUUCUGGCCAGCCUACCAUGAAAACUUGUUUGAAGCUAUUCACUUUCCUCUAUUCUCCUCAAUCCCAUUUGCAGAGAAGGUCAUAAUUGCCCUCUUCAGGAUCUGCCUCAAGCUACUCUCAUCUGCCAGAGUAGAGAAACUGCCAGAGGAACUCAUCUUCAAAUCCAUCAACAUGAUGUGGCAAAUAGAGAAGCAGAUUCUAGACACAUGUUGUGAAUCCAUAACAAAGUCAGUCAGCAAGAUUUUGUUUGAAUACCCUGCAAAUCUGCAGAGCUUCCUGGGUUGGAAAACAGUCCUCCAUCUCUUAUCCGUCUCUGGACGCCAUCAGGAAACCUACGAUCAGGGAGUAGAGACGCUUAUCAUGCUCGUUUCGGACCAAACUCAUGUUUCCCCCGUGAAUUACCCUUUCUGCAUCGACUGUGCAUUUGGGUUCGUGGCGCUUAAGAACAGUCCCCUGGAGAAAAACCUGAAGAUUCUGGACCUUCUGGCGGAAUCGGUCAGCUUGCUAAUCCAUUGGUAUAAAAACUUCUCAGACCCUGGUAGCAAUUUCAGUACAGCAAGCACAGGAAGCAAUAACUCUUUCCAGGAUGCCGCUUCGUUUUCGGUCAGCUUGUUCCUGAAAUUAGGAGAAGCCUUCAGGAAAACCAGCUUGGCAAGACGAGAGGAAAUCAGGAACCAUGCCAUCAAGUCUCUUCAUAAGAGCUUUUCCUUAGCAGAGGAGUUGGAUUUCACACCUGCCAACUGCCUAAACUUGUUCAACUUAGUGGUAUUUGCCAUGGUAGACGAUCUGCACGAAAAGCUGAUAGAAUACUCGAGGCGGGAAGGGGCGGAGAGGGAGAUGAGGAGUAUGGAAGGGACUUUGAGCUUGGCGAUGGAACUUAUGACGGAGGUUUAUCUACAGUUCCUGAAGCCAAUAGCAUCAAGCCCCGGGUUCAGGACGUUCUGGUUGGGUCUAUUGAGAAGGAUGGAUACAUGUAUGAAAGCUGAUCUUGGGGAGUAUGGUGAGACCAAGUUGCAGGAGGUGAUUCCAGGUCUCUUGAAGAAAAUGAUUAUUAAGAUGAAAGAAGAUGAAAUUUUGGUACAGAAGGAAGAUGAUGAUCUGUUUGAAAUAGCUUACAUUCAAAUUCAGUGGAUUGCUCCUGCCUUGAAGGAAGAACUUUUUCCUGAAUUGGAAAUUUAGGUGUUAGUUUUUUUGUUUAUGGAUGAAGGAAAUUUUGGUACGCAUAAUAUGUGUAUAUAAUAUAGAUUCGUACUUUUUGUAAUUAGAUUUAUUGAAUUUACAGAUUUACCAGAAUUUGGUGGAUUAGUGACUAGAUUUUUUUAUAUACUUGCAGUUUGUCCACCUAUUAGCGCGACAUUAGAUGUAUUCUUUUUUUAUAGUGAAACACACGAAAAAAAACUAACUAUAAUGCCACCAGUUUAGGCACGAAAACCCUCACUUUAUCAUGGUCUCUCGCUCCCCUCGUGCUACCAAUCAUUGUUAGAUACUGCCACUCGCUGCAACUCCAAGAGCAACAGCCCGUGUUCCUCGUCAACCAGGUAGUCUACCACGUGAUUUGCUUCCUUGGUAAACAUAUAUAACCCGAACUUCUCAAUCUCUUGCUGGCACACUAUGAAUUCAUCCACAAAGCUUGUGUUGAUGUAAAUAUAUAUGUCUGAAUACAUUAGAUACCUAUUGAAGAAAUGAUUCCUUACUCCAAUCCUCAUUUGGAAAUGGACAUAGUGAAGUGGAAAAGAACUCACCAUUCAAAUAGAAAAGAUCUGGAACCACUUCCUAGCAUUGAUAAACUUGUUCAAUUUAUAUAUUUAUUAACAAAAUUAAGUCUUUUUAUAAGUUGAGAUAGAAUUUGGCUUAUAUAAUUUAUUGAUCAACAUAAACUCAACUUGAUUAUGCCUCGCGAACGAACAACGAUCACAAGCUUAACUUCAAGCUCGAUUAAAACUCAUGACAAGUCACAAUGAGAAAAGGUGAAUGUAACUCGACUGCCGGCACAGUUAUGAGUUUGAGCCGAAUUCAAAAUCGAUGCGGUUUAACGAAUUUUGACCCAGUCGCCAACCCGACCACAAAACGAGCUCAUUUAACAUUUAGUCGAGUCUAUUAGAAAUCGGACAUUUGAGCGAAUCGGGUUGGUUAACAGCCCACCCACCCGUAAGAAUGUUUAGUAGAUUAAUUUUGAACAAAUAAACCUAACGCCGGAGUAACUUAUUUCAAUUCCCUAGUUGAUAGGGGCGAGUCGAGCCGUCGCGGUGAUCCGUAUGCUACUGGGGCAACCCUUUCUUUCACCCUCCGCGUGUAUUGUUUUUCAUUCAGUUAGCCGCCUCCGUCGGCCCUCGUGGCCUCCUCUGAACUGCAGAUCUCCAAAACGGCAGCUCGCUCGCUCACAAACCCACAUGUCUGAUGAUUGUGUUCUAGCUCCCGAUUCAAAUGCCAAGCAGCAAUCCGACGCCACGCUCUCGGGUAGCCUCUCAUGUCAAUGACCCUCUCCCUACGAGCUUCAAAGGCUUUACCUUCCUCAUCCUUCUUCUUCGAGGUACGACACCGUUGUUUCCCUAUUGUUCCCCGCCUUCUCACCGCCGAAGCCGCUGCUGAACCACUUGCUGAAUCAAUUCCCCCUGAAUCUAUCCAUCAUUACAAAGACCUUAUUUUUAGCACUGUUCAGCAUAAGCCCUUUGCCUAUUGCAACCAAAACUGGGGGUUUGAGCUGUUUCACCCUGUAAUUACUGAUCCUGACUUGCUGGCUCGAGUCAUAUCCUCGAUGCACGAAAAGCCCCAAGUAGUUUUGAGGUUUUUCAGAUGGGUUCAGAGCCAACCAGGGUUUAAGUGCUCGGAAUCUGUAUGUUGCGCUCUUCUUGAGGUUUUGGCGGAUAACGGUAUGAUGAAGCCUGCUUAUUGGGUUGUGGAGAGGGUGAUUGAAAGACAAAUGGAUGGGAUUGUCGACGUAUUGAUUGGUAAUAAUGGGCGCUUUGAUUAUCCGGUUUUGAUCAAGAUUCUUGAUCUUUUGCUGUGGGUUUACACCAAGAAAUCCAUGGUUAAGCAGUGUUUAUUGGUUUUUGAGAAGAUGCUGAGAAGUGGGAUGUUGCCUGAUAUUAAGAACUGCAACAGGAUUCUCAGGGUGCUUCGAGACAAGAAGAUGGAAGCUGAAGCUAAUCAAGUGUAUGGAAUGAUGGGAGAAUAUGGAGUUAAGCCUACUACCAUUACGUAUAAUACAAUGUUGGAUUUGUUUUGCAAGGAAGGCCGGGUGCAGCAAGUCCUGAAUCUUGUGUCGGAGAUGCAAACCGCUGGUGUUGCUCCCAACGAAGUGACGUAUAAUGUGUUGAUCAAUGGGUUGUCGAAAAGAGGGGAGUUAGAGCAAACUUUGGGAUUCAUAGGGGAGAUGAUGCAAGCAGGAUUGGGAGUUUCGUCCUAUACCUAUAAUCCUCUAAUUUUCGAGUAUUGCAAAAGAGGGUUGUUUAUCGAGGCGUUGGGCCUUGGAAACGAGAUGGUGACAAAAGGGGUGGCUCCUACAGUAUCAACUCAUAAUGCAAUCAUCUAUGGGUUCUGCAAAUAUGGGAGAAUAAGUGAUGCUAGGAAGCUGUUAGUAGACAUGUUGAGGAACAAUGUGAUGCCGGACAUAAUUUCGUAUAAUUCGCUUAUUUAUGGGUACUGUAGGUUGGGGCAUGUUGGUGCUGCUUUUCUUUUGUUUGAUGAGUUAAGUUAUCGGAGGCUUCGUCCUACUGUGGUUACAUAUAAUACGCUCAUAGAUGGGCUUUGCAGAUUGGGGGAUUUGGAAGGUGCUCGAAAGCUGAAAUAUGAUAUGGUCAGUCAUGGGAUCCUUCCUGAUGUCUUUACCUACACCAUUCUUGUUAAUGGUUCGUGCAAGUUCAGAAAUAUGUCCAUGGCCAAGGAAUUUUUCAAUGAGAUGCUGCGUGCAGGGUUAUCGCCUGAUCGGUAUACAUAUACUGCACGGAUUAUGGGUGAACUGCAGAUUGGUGACACAACUAAGGCAUUUGAUUUACAGGAAAAAAUGCAGGCUAAGGGGAUCCCUCCUGGUGUAUUUACCUAUAAUGUCCUUGUCUAUGGACUGUAUAGGUUGGGUAAGUUUGAAGAUGCUGAGGAAACUUUGCAGAAAAUGGUUAAAGAUGGUUUAGUCCCUGAUCAUAUAACCUACACCACCAUCAUACAUGCACAUUUGGAAAAUGGGUGUCUGAUGAAAGGCAGGGAGAUCUUCUACGAGAUGUUGAGCACGGGGCAGAAGCCUACAGUCGUAACUUACACGAUAUUGAUUCACGCUCAUGCACUCAAAGGGAGGCUUGAAUUGGCAACCAUGUUUUUUUCGGAGAUGCAAAACAAAGGGCUUGUUCCGAAUGUUAUCACGUACAACGCUUUGAUAAAUGGAUUUUCCAAAGUAGGAGAGAUGUAUCAAGCAUACACAUAUUUUCACGAGAUGGAACGAAAAGGUGUAUCUCCUAACAAGUACACGUUCACCAUAUUGAUUAGUGGGAAUUGCGACAUCGGGGACUGCCAGGGGGCUUUGACACUAUACAAAGAUAUGCUAGAUAGAGAGAUUGAGCCAGAUUCUUGUACUCAUAGUGCACUGUUGAAAGACCUGCAUAAAGACUACAAAUUGCACGCUGUGCAGUACAUUGAGAGUUUGUUAGUUGAAGAUAGUGAUGCGUCAAUGGUCAAUACAUUUGAUGCUGCAAGAGGCUAGGAGUGGAUUCUGCUCAGCUAGGAACUGACACACUUCUUGUUCAUGUAAACAAUACACCUCAUCUGGUCUUCGAAUCAACAUGCUGAGUGGCACCUUGUACUCUUUAUCUUUGAUGAUACAGCAAGUAAGAGCUUCUCUCCCCUUUAGAGUUUGGUCGACUUGAAUUUUGCUGAAUUGAACUUCUCUCAAAUGAGCUUUGUUUGGAUGUGACAGGGUGCACUUGCUGGCGUAUAUGAUUGAUUAGCAAAAGGAUUUGAAGUGCAAUAUGUAAGCUCGCGCAUUUCAGUUCUUAUUUCUUCCGGAUGCAGUUGCUACAAAGAGUUGGCAAGGUAGCGGGAUGAAACUUGAAACUGUAUUAUGCUUUCAUUCAUCAAAUAAAUCUCUGACCACAUGCCUGAUUUGUUUAUUCAUUCCAAAAUUUUGAAACUGGGAAAGAGGAAUCCAUAGCUGUUUUACCACUUGUGUUCUAUAGUUCUACGAGGCUGUAAGAAUACCCGGUAAGUGUUUCUUUCCUCUCAGAGCUUUGGCUGCAGUGACACAGAACUAUGUUCAGCAGUUGAGAGACUUCAUGAACAAUUUCCCUUCAGUGAGUACAGUAAUUUUUUGUGGCUAUUAAUACAUUGCGGAAGAGUUUGCACUGCAUCUUAGUUUCUCUUAGAAAUGUCAGUAUGUCAAUGACUGCUUUUACUAUUUUGUUUUGCAAACAAACCACCUGUAUUGAAUUUGGUAGCAGUAGGAUUGAACUUCCAUCUUCAUGCACUCUGCAAAAUGAUGGACCAUCUUCCAUGAUUGCAUUCGUAAACACGACUGCAUAAAUGCUCAUGUUGGGUCUUGAAGAAUACAGAAAAGGGUGUAUAAUACAAAACUUUUCAGGCAGCUAAGAAGGAAGCAAGAAGUGUAAGUUGGAGAUUAGAUGCAGUGUCAGAUUCUGAUGGCUGUUGAUUUACUGGUAUAACUAUUAGUUUCUAUCUUCUUAAUUAAUGGCAUCCAUGCCACACUGGAUCAGUUGUGACUUGUCCAAUUCUUUUCUGUGGCAUAUGAUUGUGGAGUUUCUGCACUUUGAGUAAUUUGCUGGAACUCUGAAUGGUUGCAUCCUUCUUCAGAAGUAUUGUUUGUUAGCAAAAUACUAGUCAUGUAUAGUUGAGAGUUUGAAGAAUAAGCUUUGUUGUAAGAAAACAUAUGAUCCUCCGACGAACGAACAAGUUAUUUCUGUAUAAAAUAAUGCGCUGGAAUCUUAGCUUAGGAUGAAUCAAAUUAUUUUGUAGUAUUAGAAUAUGGUGGAAUCUUACCUAAUUACAAACCAGAUUACUUCAGCAGGUACGUCAAUGCUGCAGUAAUUCUAUCAAUGCUUUUAUCAUUAAGUGUGAGAGUUCACAAUGAUAUGUCACUGUUGUACUCGUAUAUCAGAAAAGAAUCAUGGAAAAGCUAUAUAAUCAGAGUUAACGAGGAUUCCAUGACAUUGCACGAAGAGUUUGAUUAUGUUGUCUGCUGUUUGUCUGGAGAAUGAAAUGCCACAUCACUAACUUUUGGGGAAUGACUUGGAAAGUUCGCAACAAGAAAAAAAUAAAGAGACGCAAAUGCAAACUGUGAUUCGAAGCAUAGUUCGCGGCUGGACUCGGUGCCUUAAUCCCAAAUAUGAAAAUCACUAUAUUUUACCUUAUUAUGUAUCUUAGUUUUUGUGAUUAUGUUUUGUCAUACCAGACUAAGUUCAUCAACAGAAAAUUGUACAAAUCCUUUUUAAGACAUGCAAAUCUUCUAAAUCCACAUAUUAUCGUAAUGAUCCGGUCGGAUAUAACCCGCUAAAGAGGUGCAAAAAGAUGUACACUUGAAAUGCCUCGUAGAUCAUUUGGUUGCAGUAUUCUGCGUCAGGGCUUAGAAAACAACGAUCAAAUUACUGCCAUGCGCUAGAAAAAAGUGGAACACCAUAACAAUACUCGUCUUGUGUAGACAACUAUAGUAUAAGUACAACAUAUAUACUUCCAGUUAAUUCCAUCAGCGACACAACUAGGGCUUUUCCCUUCGGUAUAUAUGUUCACGUCCAAGGAAAAUCCCCCCAUAGCUUUUGUAAUCUUUCUACCUCCAAUUUUGAAUCCCUUAGUAUAAAACCCCACCACUUCCCAUUCCUCGAGUUUCAAACUUUCCAUCCAACUAUUUGGCACCAAAAACAACGGUAUUGGUGCCAAAUAGUAACCCAAAAACAAAAAAAAAUGUCUGCUUUCUCAACCCGCCUGGUUUGUUUCCGUUUGCCUAUGAUCAACAGCAGCCGUGUAAGGUUGAACUCUGUGAAGGUCAACAGCGUGAAGUCAACCCUGCGGUCGUAUGGAAGUUUGGAGCUUGAUCAUAUGGAAACGACAGAGGAGAACAAGAGGCAGAACAUACCGACGGAGAAGAAGUACGUGGAUAGGCAUAGACAUGGUCUGAUGAUUGACAACGGCGUUGGGUAUCGACAGACUGUCGUUAUUCGAUCUUAUGAAGUUGGUCCUGACAAAACCGCCACUCUUGACAGCAUCCUUAAUCUUCUUCAGGUAUGAUUUAUUAAUUGUCCCUUAAUUACAUCGAUGAUCAUUUAACUCUGUGUAAAUGUGAUAGGAAAUAGCACUGAAUCAUGUGUGGAUGUCGGGGCUGCUUGGGAAUGGAUUCGGAGCAACUCAUGGGAUGGUCAAGAACAAUCUCAUCUGGGUUGUUUCCAGAAUGCAUGUUCUCGUUGAUCAUUAUCCUAUCUGGUAUGCCAAUUGUUACAUUUGUGUUGCAUACAUACAUGUUUUCUUACUUGGUAUUUUGAGAUCGACGAUUCGUUCGUUAAAAAAUAGUCAUUUUCCCAAACGAUACUACAUAUAACUGUGACAGUAGGUUUUGUAGUCUACUUAUGAUGAUUCCAAGAAUGUGUAAUUCCUAGGAAUUUGUCCUCAUAUAAUCAAGGCCCAAGACUCAUUUGUCUUGUGGCCUUAUAUACAAAAUUGUCGACUAGUUUGGCGGCUUUCAUUUUGAUCACUUGGUGACAAAAUUAGUAUCAAAUGGUGUGCCUGAUAUCUCCAAGUUUUUGGGAAUACUAGGGGCGAGAUAGUGGAGAUCGACACUUGGGUGGCAGCAUCCGGUAAGAAUGGGAUGCGUCGCGACUGGAUCAUUCGCAGCCAAGCUACCGGUCAUGUCUAUGCCCGCGCUACGAGGUAGAUUAUCUUUUUCAUCCUCAGUAAAAGUUUUAAGGUUUUUGAAGAUAUGUAAUGUACGAAGCAGUAUUGUAUGAAUGUGUGCAGUACUUGGGUGAUGAUGAACGAGAAGACGAGGCGGCUAUCGAAGAUGCCAGAGGUGGUUCGAGGGGAGAUAUCACCUUGGUUCAUCGACAAACAAGCCAUCCAUCAAGACGAUGCUAAUAUUGCUGCAGAUAGGAUCGUCAAGUUGGACAACAAUGCUAAAUAUGUCAACACUAACUUGAAGGUUCUUUUUGUUUCACGAAUCAUGUAUACAUACUACAUGUUAGUUGUCCAUUUCAUGAUUUGUAACAAUGGGCGAAAACUGCAGCCAAGGAGGAGCGACUUGGACAUGAACCACCAUGUCAACAAUGUCAAGUAUGUCAAAUGGAUGCUCGAGGUAAACCUUUGAUAGCUGAUACAAAACGUUACUUAUUGGUACAUAUUUUACAUAGCGUUGACUCUGAUGGAUCGUUAUUUCCAUUGUGGCACAGACAAUCCCGGACAACUUCGUGGAGUCGCACCAGUUGUCUGGGAUCAUAUUAGAGUACAGAAGGGAAUGCAGGAGCUCAGACAUUGUACAAUCACUCUGUGAACCCGAUGACGACACGAUCAGCCUCCUCCAAACCUGCUUCAUCAAUACCGGCAGAAAUUCAGACAAAAACAGCAGCAACAACAGUAUAGCGAGACCGGAUGAGAUCUCAUUGGCAUCACAGAUAAUGCAAGGCAACGGACUCCUGUGCACCCUUGACAAUCAGGAGCUCCUCAUUCCUACCAGAUUCACGCAUCUGCUUCAAACCCAGCUGCCAGACAAGAAGCCUAAUGCAUUCGAGGAGAUCGUUCGGGGAAAGACCUUCUGGAAGAAGCGUCCAAAGCCACGGAAUAUGGAUUAUGAUGAUCAACCUUGACUAAACACAAGAUUGACAAGACCGGCAGUCGUGAUUAUUGGAAAAGAAGGCUUUUUGGAAUUCAGUAAGAGUACAUAAUAUCAGUGUGAAGAAAAAACUACCCAGUUAUGGAAUUCAGUUUGUAUGUUGUCUAUAACUAUCGGAGCACCGAUGAAUAAAAAUGUGAAGGGACAGCUUACAUGUUUAAUAAAACUAUACAGAGUAUGUAAGAUUAAAAUGACACGAAAAAACCGAGAAAUACGAUGCUGUAACCAUUAACUAUACCCCUACUACAUGCUGCGAUAAACUCAAAUAUGUAAUUUCCACAUAAGCACAAAAGCUCAAAUUGCUUCCAUAAAUCUCCAAACAAGCACAACUUCUCCAAUUCAUUUCUCAGGUAGAUUUUCUGCUAAAACACAACUCCGAAACAAACCAACUCCCCCGAUUUAACGCCCGGCCCGGUGGCCUUCGAAUCCAUAACUCAAUGAACUAAACAUCCCUACGCAGGGCCGACUCUAUCAUAUAAUUCUCUAAGCUAAUUGUCCAGAAAUUGAGCUAAGGAAAGCUUGAACCGGAUAUUAUCGCCAUUUACAAUUCUCUAUGCAUAGACCAGGUAUGUACAGAGCCACUACCUACGACAAUGGAGCAGCAUAGUACAAAAAGAAUCAUGGGAUCAAAUGAGUAGGGCUACCAGCAAAAUCUUCAUCGUCUCUUUCUCUCGCGACUUCUUCGUUGCAAUUGCCAUGACCAUGCUAGCACCGACAAUACCAAUGAAACUCCAACGCUCGUCCAAAAGACAACCAACAACGUAGGCAUGGGGUUCGGGUACAAACCUGACCAACAGAAGCUUAUACAUGAUUACCAGCCUCUGCGAAAAAUCGGAAUUGGAGAUGGUUUAGGUGAAAAUGGAAGCUUAAGAGUGGCCGUAACACGUACCAUGUCCAAACUUGAUGCAGAUAAGAAGUUCAAUAAUGCAGAUAGCAACUGACAGCCAACAGAAAGCUCCAACCUUUUUCACCGGUUUCCUGAGAAACCAUCCGCAUAAAUAUGAACAACAAUUUAGUUAAGCGUAAAGCCCACACAAGCAUCAUGGGAGUGAGAGAGAACGUACCGAUCCUGAAGAUAUGAGUUGUAUUCACGAAUUGUUGGGAUGGCAAUAAGCCACCAUAAGAUCAAUCUGUAUAUUAUGACAGGGUUGCGUGGAGGGAUCCAAAGACAGAACUUGAGAAAGAAUGUGUUGAGCUCUACUGUUAGGAAGAUUAUGCAGAGAGUAAGAACUUGAAGAAAUCGCCACGGACCAAGCAAUGGAUGCCAUUCAUCCUUGUCCCAAUGGGCCGGAGUAAACUGUCCUAGUGUUCGUUUUACCUAUAGAACAAACACAAAAGGAAUCUUAACUCACCGGUUAACGUUACACAAAGUAAGUGACAAAUACUUCAUAGCUCAUAAAGAAGUUGGGUGCAAAGGAAAAGAAACUGCAAGAAGCGCGAAACCAUACCUUUCCCAUGAUGUUAGGCUGUCGACUAAUACCAAUCCACUCGUAUGUUUUACCAUCAAAGUAUCUUACAGUGCGCAUCCCUGCCCAUAUACCUGUGAUAUAUACCAAGCAGAAAAUUUCAGAUUGUAAUGCAGACCGCAUAAUCACAGUACUACAGCAGCAAAUCGAAGUGGCAUUUUAAAAAAAGACCAACAUCAAGGCCUAAAAUUUAACGAGUUUCAAACAGAAAUUCUCCCUUAACUAUUGUGUAUACUUCAAUUAUGUAACAUAGACUAGAAGAUAUGCUAGAAAUCGAACAGAAUAGAAACAUUCAUCAGAAGAACUUCCAAAAAUUUGCAGAAAAGGGAACAGUAAUAACUGUCAACUGUUAAGGAAGUCUUACCGAACAUAUUGCAUGUAAGUAUGUCGAGAAUGAUACUAUCCCACCAGCACUCGUUGAAAUUCGGUAACAUGUGGUGAAAGGUAAACUGAAAGUGCGAGAGAAUGUAAUGACCAUAUGCUCGAGAAUUGUAGAGAGCAAACGAAGUAAACAGAUCAACCAAGAUAGAAGAAAACUGUACGGUUGAGUGGAAAAAACUGACCUCUAGCAACUCGAAUCCAACAGAUAACACCCAAAGAAGAGCUUGAUUGCGGAUUAGUAUAGCCUUGCCCCACCAUCCAAAUAUAUGAGCUAGAACAAAUUCAUCAAAAAGCGUAUCCUGAAGAAACAAACGUAAUCGGGCAAUGUUACUUGGGAAUCAUAUACAAACGCUAAGAGUAAAAACUAGGAACGAUGGGAAAAGUCACCAAAAUCAAAAGCCAACUCAAAACCACCAUACCCCUACUUCCUGUUUGUAGGCAUCCAUUAAUCAGAAAACAAAUACUGAAAAAAGGAAGGGCAGGGAAAGAAGAAAUCAUACAUAAAGAUUCUUAAACCUGCUUGUAGGAUUUUCAGGUGUAUAAAUUCGACAAUCUGCACCAUAUGACUUUUCGGGGAGUUCUGUAAACCAAGAACGAGGAUAUGAUGAAUGAUAAAAAGUCAAUGCAGCAGAAAAAGAAAAUAGGGACUUCAAAAUUUUAAAGAGCAAGACAUGGAAGAGAGCUAGAACCAAACAUAACUGAGUCUCAGAACCAUUACCUACUCCAAGGUCAGGAUGGAGGAACUUCAUGAACUGUCUAGCAUCAUCACGCUUCUACAAAAGAGCAAAAUUCCUAUAUUAGCCUCAUGAAAAUUACUAGGAUCUCCUAAUAAGUGAUGAGACAUGAUGGAACGAAACCAACAUGAACAUUGCAAUAUGGAGAAAAAAUGUCUGCUUAUAAAUGGCUGAAUCGAAAUCUGUCUACCUGGAAAAGCAAAAAUGUGAGGGCCACCAGAUAGAUAACUGCCAUGCCAUGAACUAACCGCCAAAUUGCAGGAUGUGGUCUAAUAAGUAUCCUGAAACAUAUCAUGUUAACAGAAAAAAAUUCAGAGCAUAGACCAUCAAAACCAAUCUUCAUCCUUAUUUUAUGAUGGUGGAACUGAUAAUGUCGUGAAAUAGAAAACUAUUCUUGAUUGAUCUUUCCACAAGAAACUAGUGCACUGUUUCAAGAUUUUGACAAGACUAAUAUCCAGGAAUCGUUCACAAACUCUUUUAGCAGCCUUGCAGAAAAAGUUAACACUUUAACAAGCGAAGUCGUAUCUGAUUGACGGUAAAGAGAAGAAUCUAAGUAGCAUUGUCCGCUAUAAGAGACGAGUACUUCACAAGACAAUUUACCACAGAAGAGCUAGAUGUAGUUAAUCCACACUAGUUCUUUCCAUCAAAACCAUUUCUUUAGAUGGAUAUUUCAUCGAUUUAGAGUCCCCCGUUAAUGAAAGGCAAUAGACACUGAGAAGUGAGGGAAAAUUUAAUUACUAAGUGAACCAUCAUUUGAAAGGUCCUCACGCUAACAUCAGAAUACACAGUGUUACCAAUGACUACGCAAUAUCUAUAACACAGCAAGAUGAAUCAUCAAGAGCUUACGUAGAUGGAGCUUGCAGUAAGCAAUAAGCAAGAAAGACCGCUAUCAUUGCCCAUAUACCUCUGCAAGAUAUAGUCAAAUGAACUGAUGAAACAUUUAGUUUUAACAAAACGUGGAAAGCAGAAUCCUCACACGAAAUAAUCUCAAGUGACUUGGAAGCAGAGGCAAGACCUUUUCACUGAUGUAACAACAUCACCAGCUGAGCUGCUUUCAGGAUCAAGGGCUCCGCUUGCCCAACUAUUUGAAACAUGUAUGUCGUUAGUUAGAAGAUUAUCGUGAAAUAAGCUUAAUAAUUUACAUAAGGAGAUAGGCAAAAAAAACUCACAUAAGAAAGCAUGCACCAACAAGUAACAGCGAAAUGGUGCGUGGCUUGUAUGCCCAUGCAGUCCAUGGAUCUACAUCUCCAACGCUAGAAACUACUAAACCGCCAUUUUCAUGUACAAGCUGAUCUUUUCUCUUCACUCUUUUGCCACCGUUAGGCUCCAUGUUCGAGUAUGCUUACAGUAUCCAACUCGUUCCUUCAAAUAACAUAAGAAGGACCUGUCGUGAGAUAUGGAAGACGAAGUUUUUGCCUUCAAAUUGGAUCAGCAAACUGAUGACAUUCAGAAGCAAGUCGACUUGUGUCCCUUGCAUCUCUAAUAAUAAGAAUUUUUUAUGAUACAAAUCCAUUAGUAUAUAUGGCUUGAUUCUCAAACAAUCUAGAUGCCAUUUUCUCUGUCAAAUUGUUCUCAAAAUGCAGCUAGUCACAGAAUCUACCUUUAGAGGCUCUUCUUAUCCUUACUAGCCAUAAAAGCAUAGAAUGAAACGCAAGGAAAACAACAGAGGACAUAAGAACAAUCAGAAGCUAAAAAAGGUACAAUAAAUGAGGGAGGAAACUAUUAAGCCAACUACCUCCACCCACAGAAAAGAAUGGUCCUACAAUUUCCAUACUCAUAAAACUCAGCAGUACUACUCUAAGAACCACAACGCAUUAAACUUGUGAACCCCACAAAAAGGGGGGAUGAACAAAGUUCACAAGUUUUAAGUUCAAUUACAAAUCUGCUCCAACAAAACUAAGAGAACAAACUGGAGACAGAGUGGGGAAGCGCUGAGAAUCUCAACAAACACCAUAAGAUAGGAAACACAAGGCCAAAAGAGGGGAGCAAAAAGAAAUACCACAGUGUUGAUGAAUCCACAGCUUCCAAUGGCAAAAGAAUUCAAUUCUUGAUUUCACUGCAUGUAGUGAAUAAAAGCAAGGUAUUCAGCAGACAGUGGAGCUGAAAGAUUGAAGUGAAGAAACAGAGGGGGAGAGAAACAGAGUACCACCACAAUAAUCCCCCCAGAAGUUGAAAAACUAAUCAAGAAAUGCCUAGAUGAUGUUUAGAUGAAUGAAUAUAUUCGCAGACAGAAUAGAGCCCAUCAAGUGAUAGAGAUGAGCGAACACUUACGAAAACGGAAAAGGGGACAAAAGGAGACUCGCCCUAGUGUGGUGGAGGGUUGAGUAGUACAACAAGAUUGGGGUCGGGUCACCCCCAAAAAUGGAAAGGAAAAAGAUACCCAAGUUGGGAAAAUCAGAGAAGGGAAAAUAGGGAAUAGAGGGUUUCGAUAUUUAUAGGGCGGAAGAUAGGAAGAGAGGGUGGAGAAGUCAGUGCCGGCGGCGGAUGUGAUGGUGAUCUGUUUGUGCUCUGUCUCUCAGUGUUUGUUUUGCAGAGAGGGAAAGAGAAAUCCGAAUCGUAAUAAAAACAGAUAGAGAGAGAGCGAGGAAAAGGGAGAGAGGGGGAUGGAUGGUGGAUGACGGUGCUGAUGAUGAUGACGGUGAUGAUGAUUGAAUUAAUGAUGAUGAUGACAGAUACUGAGAGAGAAAGAGAUCAAAUUUCGGGGGAAAACAAAAGGAAAGCUCUUGGCUUUUCAAUUAACUGGGAUUUUUAUUUUUCAAAGAAGAAGAAGAAGAAGAAGAGAAUUUCUUUAAAGUUGGUGGAGUACCAAAUACGACGGUCAAACGAACACAGAUUUCAAGCAGCAGCUGUCUUUUUCACUAUUUUUUUUAAUUAUUUAACCCCUUUUCUUUUUGUUUUCUGUUUUUUUCGGUUCGUGUGGAUCAUUGAUUCCCGGAUCGUAUUUGAUUCGGUUUUUCUUUUUGAGUUUUGUCUGCUCACAGCUCACUGGUUUAAAAUUAAAUGUCAGUUUGAUCACUGGAACUUUGUGUAUAUGUUGGAAUGGGUACUCAAUUUUAUGUUUGAAACAAUUAUGAUGAGAUAAUAUCUUUAAUGGCCAUUGAGCUCUGGACGUUUUACUCAAUAGUCACUAGUCAUUAAAUUAAAUAAAUCAUGGAGCCGUAAUCUACUAACCGAAUGCUAAUUCAGUGGUCACCUCAUUUUAUGAACAUCCAACUUGACACCGAUGUCGUAUCAUCUUAUGUAAUUUCCACUCAUUGUAAGGCUUUGUCAAAUUUGUGAUGAAUAAAUGUUUCAAAAGAAAAUUUGUAUGGGAAGGGUAGGUGUUGGAAGUCAAAAAAGAGACACGAGUUUAUAUGCUAGUGGGAUUUAAAGAUUAGCUAAUGAUGGCUUAUUUUUAAGGUUUUUAUAAUCAUAAUUGAAUAUUAAAUUAGUGAAUUUAAAGGUUUAUAGUCUUAUGAUUUGACCGAUUUAUCCAUGAUUCUUUAUCCCUCUUAUGUUUUGGAGCGUCCGCGGUUCGUGAUAUGUGUUCGGAGUUGUCAAGGCAUAUAGAAGGCGAUGCAACGUUUGUGUUCUUUCCUGACUGUCCCAUGAGAGUAUACGUUGCGUUGCUUGUGGCGCCAUUGAUCAUGGUAGAGGUCUUGACUUUCUUGACGAAUUGUUCUCGUCUCCAUAUCCAUAUUGCAUGUUCAGCAUGCUGCCAACAGAGGACAAACUUAGACUGUAUUAAGACUGAUCUCACAAUCUAACUUAAAUUUUAAAUAUUUUUUAUUUCUAUUAUAUCUUAAUUCUUUCGUCAUGAGCUAUCUAUGACAGAAAAAACACUUUAAAAAAGAAAACACUUUAAAAUUUCAAUCUUCCACCAAUUAGAAAAUCAAUCAUAAUUCAUAAACAUAUUUUGUUGAAUAAAAAACAUGAUUAUAUUACAUGUGGGAAGCCAUUAACAGAUAUGGAUUAAGGGUUGGUGGCAGUGAAUGCCAAUUAAUGUCUUAAAAGGGACAGCUCAUUGGACAAUAGUUGUGAGACGACAGAAGACCAUAGAGUUGAAGAGAGUCAUAAUUUUGACAGAAUUAAUUAGUAAUCUACUUCAUUAUGAUUGAAUAUAACAGCUCACUUUNNNNNNNNNNNNNNNNNNNNNNNNNNNNNNNNNNNNNNNNNNNNNNNNNNNNNNNNNNNNNNNNNNNNNNNNNNNNNNNNNNNNNNAAUAAUUGAAAUGAUGGAAAUGUAACAAAUCGAUAUGUUUUUAUAAUCUUUGUGUACACAUAACACAAAGGUAAACCUAUGACAGCCUACCUCCAUGAAUGAAUGAAGGUGGUGGGGAUGUUGAAAACUCUUACACAAUGGUAAAGAAAAACACAUGAAGUUGUACUAUUUAUUUGUCUUCUCUAGCUGGUUGGAGACUUGGUCAGUACUAUUCCUAUCCUAGCUAGCUAGCCCUAAUUCCCAAGCAUUCAUGAUGAUCCACAACUGUAACUUCAGUUUAACCAUGCACCCACCGUACAUAUAUUAGAAUCAAAUUAUAUCCAACAUGGUAGCAGUACUAUUGUUUUUUCUGAUCUGGACCAUAUUCCAAAAGAAUCUUUGUGCAAUCAUCAGGAAACUAACAAAUUGCAUAUUUUAAACUGUCUUGUUGUAAUAAUAGACUUUAAUUUGUAGAUGUUUCACUUCACUUCACCGAGUGGAAUAGUAUAAUGGUUUGAUUAAGAAGAUGGGAUGCAACUAUUUUGUGACAACAUUGUUCAAGACCCGUUGUUUCAUGAACGCACCCAAAACACAAGAGAUUGUUAUGUGAUAACUGAACACUUGCAGCCUGGCAUGUGUCUACUCAAGUUCAAUUUGUAGAUCCAUUGACUAAAGGUUUGUUUGCACCUCGAUUGCCCAUCUUGUUGACCGUGUCGUUUAGAUAUGUGAUUCGAAAUAGAAGAGAUUUGAAUUAUAUGAAAUUUGGAUAAAACUUGUUACUUUUAAAAUUGAUCAUUUGGAUAAGUGAUUUGUACGUGAAUUUGAAUGCAGUUAUUGUAUACGGAGAAAAUAAAAAGAGAAAAAUACUAAUAUUUUUUUUCAAAGGCAUAUACUCUAUUUAAUUAAAGGAGAGAAGGGUUGCAUAAUAGCUUAUAUCUAAAAUCAAAUGCCCCAAUUAGAAGGAGGGAAUAGAUAGAGCUUUUUUGGCCACAUUAUCGACAAUUCUGUUACAAGUUUUAUGAAUAUGGGAAAACUGGUAUUGUGCGAAGAUAGAAAUCUUUUUCAGGAUAUUCUCAAAAUUGUGCCAUACUUUAGGGGAUUAAUGUUUCGGGCAUUAAGAUGUGAGAUGACCUUCAAAAAAUCACGUUCAAAGAUAACUUUAUAAAAUUCUCUCGCGGUUGCCCAAAAGACCGCUACCCUGAAGCCCAAAGUUUGAACUUUAUUUAUAACCAUAUAAAUUCCAACAAAAAAAGUUAAUUUUUGCUAAAAUUCUCAACUCUUAUAUCUUCUGAAAUUUCUACCGAUUUAUGUAAUUUGAAGUCACGCACGAAACUCUAUUCAGACAUUCAAAAUUACCUCAAAUCUCUUCCAUUUUCGAAAAAGAUGAUUUGAGAACAAAUCACCACCAAAUUUCAAAUUAUUUAUCUAAAUCACUCAUCCAAACUACAAGUAAAUAAUGUGAGAGGUUCAGAUUCGAAAUGUAUCACUGUGGAUACCAAUUCUGUAUGAAUCUAAAAGGAAAGAGUGGCGGGGGUGGAGGUUUCCUUUGGUGAAACAAAACCACAUCACAUGAAGGGUUUCUUUUACGAAUUUUCUUGUUUGGUCACUAUUUUAUUUGUUAUAAAAAUGGUUUCAUAAAUAAUAAUCCAAUUAAUUAAUCCUGCGAAAUUGCGAGAAAGCUGUUAGCUGAUCUGAUCUCUGCCAGCAUCUUUUUUUUUUUACAAAGUGGUCCCUUUGUCACCUUUUGGACGCUUAUCCUCCUCACACACAGACACACACACACUAGUUAUAAGUAAUUAAAUACGUACGUCGUUAGUUUACAUGUAUGUAUAUGCCUAUAUGGUUGGUAGUGUACAUUAUCAUGUACGUAUUCUUAAUCUUUGCACUCCAGCUGGUGAAAUACUUGGUUUGGACGUAGUUUAAUUAUUUUGUAGUCUCAUCAGAUUCAAUUCCUGCAGUCUGAGUCUAAAAAAAACCAUGAAAUAUAUGAAGCCGACAGAAAAACACAUGUACAGUUUGAGCAACCUCAAAGAUUAGUGCACAUGCUUGUCCCGUUAAGGGUGGGGGGGUUUUGCUCAGACUCUGAGGCCACAUCCCAUGCAUCAUGUCAUGUUGUCAAUCAAAUAAAAUUUAAUAAAUAAAUUAUUGUGUGUGUUGGAACGAACAAUACACAUUUACUUUAUAUGCUAAAUAUAUAUAUAUAUAUAUUGUUUAUAAUAUUUUGGAGUAGUCUGCACACUACUACUCCAAGAUUCAAAGAAAAGAGUCCUGGAACCGUAAUUAAGGAUAUGUGAACCAAGUUACAAUAGCCACAAUUGGGAAAAGGGAUAAGUGGAGUUGUUCCGGUAAUAAUAAAGCCGUGUGUGUGAUUCAUUUGGAGGGAUUUCGGGUUAAAAUUUAAAAUAUUUUACAAAAUGAACAUUAUUGUUGUGUUUACUUUUUCGAUUUUGAGAACAAUAUAAUAACCUAAUUCAGAUUUCAGGGCCAUAUUCAGUACGCAUCGUUCAUUCUUCAUUCGCUGCCACUCAUCCUUUUUCCCUUUAUGGAAUGAGGCCCUUAUUUAAUUAUUCUUCAUUGUUUGGGCUUUUUCCUCCACUUAGUUAGGAGGCUACGGCCUCCGGUUGUUUAUACUCCACUCCUCCAAAGCUGCCAACCUGUACGGAUGUCGUCUUUGUCACGAAUUGGCCAUUUGAUGGAAGCGAGUUCACCACCCAUCAGGGUGCUCUUACGGACCGAUCUGGCUGUUGACGAGUCAAGUCACUCGACACAAUAGAUUUGUAAACUGGAUCAAACUCGAAAGCCUAUUCAAAUAUAGCUCGAACAUAUGUAUUUUGUGAUUUUCUAAAUGAAAAUGCAAGUAAUAUACAUUGUUUACGUCGGUAGUAUAGUAUGUUUCUUUUAGCGGUACAUGUUUUUCAUUUUUUAAGUGUAGUGUACAAACUUCAAAUUCAGCUUAUGAGUGGGGUUCAAUGACUGAAGUUUGAGUUUGUCUAGAUUAGUUAACAAGCCAAACUUGAAUAGACCAGAGCUUCGGACGAGUUAAAAUUUUCAAACUCGAGUUCGAACUCGUCUAAAAAGUAAUUGAUCAAGCUUGAGCACAGUAAAACUCACUCAGCUCGGUUCAUAAAGAGCCCUAAUGACGGAUCAUCCCCACUACUUUGUAUUAGAGAACGAUCCCUAUUCCCUACCACUGCACAAGUAUCAUCAACCGCGAUCAACAACCAGUGCGACAAUAAUCCAUACAGGGAUAACUUAUCACUUGGACUUACCACACAGCCUGAGUUUAUGACAUUGGACAUCAUCCCGCUUAACAAAACGUCUAGGCAAGUAUAGAAAAAGUUGAUCAGAAAGCACAAUAAUCAAUUAUGAAGAGUUUUAAGGAUUACAAAACUUUGUCCCUGGCUUUCUAAAUAUACUCGCUUCUUCCAAAGCUAAAAGAUUCCGACCACUUGCGAAUCCUGGAUACUUUCUUCUAUCCUCUUCAUGUAUUAUUCGGUCCCAAACAUGUUGAAACAACUUCACACACCAAAUGUUACACCGCAUCUGAAAAUUCUGCAAAUCCACGCAGGAAAAAAAAGGAAAAAAAACACAUAGCUUACACGAGGCUGCUCUCAAGCUAUAUAGUAGCCCACUUAGUAGGUAUAUCCCUUGACGAACAUGCCGGUCUUGGCUUCAUCGCUCUCUCCCUCCACCGAGUACUUGCCUAGCUGAGCUAGGGAGUUCGCCUUGGCACGUACAAGCAGCGCCUUCUGUGCUGCCUCGACGUUCUGGGGUUGUCCUUUCCAGGUCUUGAGCACACUGUUUUGCAGUGCUCGUGCAUAUGAGAACGACACGUGCCAUGGGUUGGGGCUCUGGUUCAUUGCGUUUAGGUUCAGGGUUGCUUCCAUCUCGGAUUGUCCUCCUGACAAAAACUGACGUGGAAACAAAAAACAAGUUAAUUGAUUGCUUCCUGUACUUCAUAUUCACGUCAAUGAGUUCAAACGUACAAGUGACGGACAGCAUUCAAGGAACAUGAUGCAUAUUUCAUAAAUCCAACUUUCUAAGAUUAGUAGCUAGCGGGUACCAUUCCAUAUCAUUCAUUGUUCAAAGGGAAUAAUGGUUAUAAGAUAUUAUGCCAAAUGAGCAUCCAGGUGUGCGUGGUGGAACGAAGAUUGGCCCUUAUACGAAAGCAUGAGUAAGAGUUGACACAAUCAUACCAUGAUUCCAGGAACAGCAGGUGGUACCGUCCUCUUAAGCAUUGUGAGUGUGUAUUUUGCUAUGGUUUCUGGAGAAGCCUUCUCCUUGUGGUCAGCCCCGGGUGUAACCAUGCUAGGCUUCAAUAGGAUGCCUUCGAAGGUAACAUUGUUCUCGGCCAAGUAGAAAAACACCUCUGACCAAACUUUUGAUGCUACCUCAAGGGUCCUGUCAAACUUGAGAAGCUUGUACUUGUGCUAAAGGAGUAUAAAAUAGACAGAAAUUGAUACAUAGGAGUUUCGAUACCAGAGCUAUACAACUGUAUGGACAAAUUUAGUAGAAUCCACCAUAAGAAAACUUUAGUCAAUAUUGUAACAUUAACGAUAACUCUGUAAAUACAAGAUAUAACUUUCUAUUCACAAGAGAUUUCAAAGUAAAAGAGUACCUGGCAGAUGGAAGCAUAUCGUGCAAGCCCCCAUGCAGCCUCCUUAACAAGCAUUGUGAGUGUGUAUUUUGCUAUGGUUUCUGGAGAAGCCUUCUCCUUGUGGUCAGCCCCGGGUGUAACCAUGCUAGGCUUCAAUAGGAUGCCUUCGAAGGUAACAUUGUUCUCGGCCAAGUAGAAAAACACCUCUGACCAAACUUUUGAUGCUACCUCAAGGGUCCUGUCAAUUCCAUGGUCUCCAUCAAGAAGAAUCUCAGGCUCCACAAUUGGGACAAGUCCACUAUCCUGCAAACCAGAAUCGAGAAUUUGAUCCGUAUUAAGAAACUGAGUGACGUAAUUGUGUAAGCAAUCAGAAGAUGCAUUUAAACAAGUAAAUAUAUAUAUAUAUAUAUAUGAUAAUUCUGUAAAUACAAGAGAUUUCAAAGUAAAAGAGUACCUGGCAGAUGGAAGCAUAUCGUGCAAGCCCCCAUGCAGCCUCCUUAACAGCAAGAGCAGAAGGACCACAGGGAAUGCUCACAACUGUCCUCCUGCAGAUUAGAAUCAUCGUAACAGAAACAUUAACCACCAUCGUUUGGGCAGGAAACACCUUAAUCGAUACAUUUCUGGUCUUUUCUAUCGAGCAGUCUAGUAAAUUCAAGUGGUGAACUAACAACAGAUAUCCAUAACAUAGGAAGAAAGAGUAAACUUACCACUUGGCAAAACGAGCACCUUGCUUGUAAUACUCAGAAGUCCUUGAAGCCAAACCAUCCAAACCCUGGCACCAGGACUCACUGUUCGACCCUGGUAGGGGAACCAAACCCUUACAACAGAAGCAACAACAACAAAAUCAACUCCCAGAGAAUCACUACAAACGCACAGAACCAGAAAAAUCGCAUCAAUAUGGUACCUUGUCAACUUUGAUCCCGGGCACAAUGUUCUGCUCAACCAAACAGUCAACAAACUUCUUGCCAUCAGUAGUAGACUGGUAAAGAGUCUCCUCGAACAGAAUAGAACCAGAGAUGUAUUCACCAAGACCAGGGGUAGUCAACAAGAGCUGCCUGUAAGCCUGCCUGUUGGUCUCAGUGUUCUCCAACCCGAUCGAGUCCAAUCUCUUCCCACAAGUAGCAUUGGAUUCAUCGAUAGCCAGGAUUCCACGUCCGGGGGAAGCAAUCGUUUUCUGAAAAACCCGUCAAAAUUUUCCAAAAUCAGAAAACGACAAAACUCCGAUCCUCAAAAAGAGAACACUAUUCUGAACAAAGAACAAAUAAUGAAUCUCGAUCAAAUUAAUUGAUUAAAAUCGAACUAAAACAGCCAGAGCAUCAUUCCACAAAACAGAACGAAUCAUCAGAGAUGUAACGAAUCUGGAUCAAAUUAAUUAAUCAAACUCAAAACAGCCAAAAACAGCAAGAGAGAAUACCUGACGGAUCAAAAUUAAACACUAGAACCCUAAAGAUUCCCGAUCAAAUCAAUUAAGUAAAAUAGAACUCAAACUGCCAGAAAAACGUGGCACAAAAGAGGAACGCAAAAAAAUCCGAACAAAAUAGAAUACUGGAACCGUAAUGAAUCUGAUCAAGGGAAAAACUAAGCGCGGAAGGGGAAAUCAAAGGUACAGAAUCAAGUCAAGAUCUAGCGAAAGGAAAGAGCGACGUACGGCAGUUUUGACGAGCUCGUCGGGGUAGAGGCUAGCGCGGACAGAGGCUAGCGCGGACGGUGAAGUUGACGCGGGAAGGGGCGAGUCGAGAGGAGCGGGAAGCGAAGGAUUUUUUGCCGACCCAGGUGGAGGAGGCGGCGUCGAGCUUAGUGAAGGUAGCUGAAGACGCCAUGGGAGGAGAUCGGGAUUGGGGGAGGCGGCGCUGGAGAAUGAGAAAGGUGGGUUUGGUGGGAGGGAGGGAGAAAUAUCGUGGGCAGCUGCAGCGUUUUUAUUAUGAGAGGGAAAGUGAAGGUCGUUGCUUACUAUUUUAAAUUUUUUAUUUGUUUCCUCGGUUGGAAUAUGCUUUUUGAUUUCUCUCGGGGAAUCCGCCGCUGGGGGGAGAGCUUUUGACGUGAGCGGAAAGACAACUGGACAACAAGGCCAAGUACGACGACGUUCACGAUACUCACUCCCAACUCACUACAAUAAGUCAAGAACCAUCGGCACAGUUGGUAAAAUACAUCAUGGGUAUAGUAUGGUAUUAACAUGUUUGUAGUUUCUUACGCUUGUUUUAAUAUGACAGUAUAUUUAAAAGCGUGAAAAUAUUAGAAAUUUGUAAUUUUGGAAAUGAAUGUAACUUAAAAUUUAUAAAAUAUAUGAUUUUUUUAAAAAAUGUAGUGUUUUAUAUAUGUUAAGUCCGUGAAGUAUUAUAUAAACAUAAAAAUAUUAUAUAACUUUAUAAUAGUAUUAGAACGGAAUUGUUAAAUAUAUAUAAUAUUAUACAUGUAUUAUAUGAAUAUUAAACGGAUUUUUGCUAACCGGCCACAUUAAUCAAUUAUGAAUGGUUUAAGGUUUUGAAUUGAGUUGGCGAAUCUACAAACACCAAUCUACCCAAAAUAGACAAUCCGGGAGAUCUCAUCGAAGCCGUCAAGUACUGCCGGAGUUUGAGGAACAAUGUAGUAUGUACUAAUGGCGGACAUAGGGGGCAUGCUCGUGCCCUAGCUCAACUCAUUUUCAGAUUUUGAAGUUUGAUACUAUUUAAUUUUUUUUUAAUUUUAGGAACAAUUCAACUUAAUUUAUUAAACCAUUCUACAUCUACCGUUAAUAAAAAAUUGCAAACCUACUUUUUUAAAAUAAAAUAGAAAAAAAUCUUAUUACAAGUUGGAUAUUCGUCCCAACUACAUGUUAGACGGAUCUCAACCGCCCGACUCGUUGUUGAAACGAAUUGAGCGCCUACGAUCGCACCCACAAGUGGGAUUAAUUCGGCCUUUUUAAAACACAGCCUUUGGGUGCGUUGUCUAAGCAGCCAGCCAGCUUCAAUGUGUAGGUUUGAAACUUUGGAUGUAAAAUAGUUUUCAUGUGGUGGCUAUAUAUUUAAAUAUAUCACCUGCAAAAUAAAACGUUUAUCAUACUGUUCAUUACAAAAUUCAGACCCAGCAAAUGUAUAGUAAAAAAGUCGGAGAUUGUGAACUCUUACAGUUCGGACCCAAAAACACCUGCAAAAUGACCAGAUCUGAAGUUCCUGCCAUGGGCUAAGGCCUAACCUUGCAUAUUUGUCACGCCGGAUUUGAACUCGAUAUCUCUAACUUAUGUGCCGUCAGUACAUAACGCUAUCAACUAUACUAGUUUACGUGCACAAUCCAAGAAUACUAUUCAAUCAAGUUUAAUCCGUUAUUGUAGACUUUAUUAUUUAUUUUGGCUCGAUUAGGUUGGUCAUUUCUUAUAGGGCCUAACCAUAGGAGAUAAUGGAUUAGCCGGUAUAAAUAUAUAAAAAAUUCAGAACUUUUACUCCAUCUACUUCACUAAAUUAACAACUAGACUUUUGUAUUAUUAAAAGUUAUUUUCCCCCUUCUUACUCUAUCAACUUGCUGAGUGUCUCCUUUUGUUAUUUUUGCCGUUAAUAAUCUGUUAUGUUUUGUCUAAUCAGCAGUGCCACGUCAUAUAGAUGGCACAUAAUUGCUGAUAAGGUAAUUAUUUAUAUUUUUAAAUCUAACCAAUCAUUUUGUGGCUAGCAUUUUAAUUUUUAACGCCACUCCAAAGUCCAAAUCAUCAAUUGCGUUUCUCCGUUUUCGGUUCCUCUAAACUGCCGCCUCAAUGAGUUCAAUUCCCUCCACCAACACUACAACCCGAUGACGAUUAUCUCCAAUUUAGAAUCGAACCCCUAGCUCUUGCCGAUGGAUUCUGCCCCUUCCUCUCCAUGUACACAAACGGCAAACAUCGGGCGCCCUCGAGUCCAUCACUGGCAGCAUCCUCCACGGCUUCACGGCCGACCCUCCAACCUGAUCUUCACUUUUUUUGUCGACCUCCUGGCCUUCUUAGUAACUCUCCUUUUCCUCUCCUUAAUAACUCUCCUUUUCCUUUCCUUAAUAACUCUCUUUUUCAUCUCCUCCAAUGCGACGUAGACGAUGAUGAGAAGGUACAGCUUGUUGAAACUAUUAUCUAUAAGGCAAAAAUUAAUAAUGAAAGGUCUUAUAGUGUGGGAAAUAAAGUAUGUUUCUUUAAAGAUUGUUGUUUUGUGUUUUUCAUCUAGUGGGCAAGCAUGUUUUUUUUUUCAUAAGUUAGGCAAGGGUUUGUUAUAAAGGUUGUUUCCAGUAACUUGAGAAAAUUAUGAAACUUAGCUUGUGACAUGAUAAUAUUUGAUGACUGAUGGAAAUUCAUUGAUGAUUCUUGUACUGAUAUAUUACAAUACUGUAUUUUUAUUUGUCAAUUUAAAUAUAUAGAAUAGUUUCAGUAAUACAUCAAUCUAAUAUAUUGGAAAUAAAAAUUAUUUUAAAUUAAAAAUGAUAAAAUAACAAAAAUCCAGUCUGAGGCUGACGUGUCAUGCUGAUUCAAUAUGAUUUAACAAAAUAUUGAUGACAAUAAUAACAGAAAGAGAUGUUUAUCAAAUUGGUAAAAUAGGAUGGGUCAAAAACAACAUUUAAUAGUAUAGGGAUCUAGUUAUUACCUUAAUAAAGUAAAGGGGGCAAAAGUAGUAUUAUCUCUUAUAAAAACUGGGGGUACUGAACUGUCACUACCAAAAACUUCAGGCAUCCAUACGUAAUAAAAAAAACCGUCUCAUCGGAAGGAAACCAGACCGGAUCCUGUCCUUUUGACCUUUGGGCACACACCACUUGUAAACUCACUCACUCACUCAACACAGUGAGUUAAGAGUAGUGAGUGACAGAGCGCGCGCAUAAACUCCAUUGCUUUAUAUACCAAAAAGCUCCCAAUACCACCAUAAACCAAAUUCCUCUCUGCCGGAUCGGAGGCGAUCCUUUCCUUCACUUCCUCGCUGCUCUCUUUGCACAGUAGUCGUACACGCGCAGCUCUCUUUGCAUUGCCAUCCGGUCACCCAAAAAAAUGGAGCCGUACGGUCACAACAAGGCAAUCGAUGCUCCGCAGCUCACUGAAUGGAGUCCCGCCGGAGCGGAGACUGGCCUUGAAGGUUAGGCUCCCUAUCUGCAUUGUUUGGUUCCAUUUCGUCCACAUUUUCUGUUUAUAAGCUAUUUGUCUAGUUUGUGUAGGGUUUGGUGAGAAUGCAGUGUUAUAUUAGGGUUUUUCUUAAAUCUAAAUGUGUCUUGAAUGCAGAAUCGAUGAGGGGAUUAGGGAUUUCAAGUAACGAAGCGUAUCCUGAACGUCCAGGGUUCCCCAAUUGUGUUUACUAUAUGCGGACUGGGGCCUGUGGGUAUGGUGGUCGGUGCCGCUACAAUCACCCUCGCGAUCGAGCUGCGGUAUGGCUAAAUGUAUAGAUGAUGUGUCGAAUACUUCGUGCUUUCUGAUACAGAGAUUAUUUAUUGAUGCUGCUUAGGCUGAGGCAACUGUAAGAGCCACGGGGUUGUUUCCAGAACGGAAUGGGGAUCCCCCAUGUCAGGUACAUGAUUUCUAGUUUUAGGUUUGAGUUGAUAUGUAGUAUGUACAUCAACUUUUGAUAUUGCUUGCAUGUACAGUUUUACUUGAAGACUGGAACCUGUAAAUUCGGUGCAUCUUGCAAAUUCAACCAUCCCAAGCACAGAGGUGGAUUCUUGAUCAAUGUUACUCUAAAUACACAGGGAUACCCAUUAAGACCGGUCAGAUUCCCACUUAUCAUUUGAUGCUUUACGUGUGUGAUAUUUGUUUACUACUUACCAUAAUUCCAAAUAGACUGCUACAACUUGUUUCGUUUCUUUGCUUGUUAGGAUGAGGAAGAAUGCUCCUACUAUUUGCAAACGGGCGGCUGCAAGUUCGGUAUAACUUGUAAAUUCCAUCAUCCUCAGCGAGCUGACACAACAUCUGCACCUCAGUUUUAUCAGCCAGUGCAAUCUCCUUCUGCAGCAGCCACAAAUCUAAGAGUGAGGCUCCCUGGUACAUUUAUGCAGGGAACGUACGGUCCUGUAUUGUUUUCUCCUGGGGUGGUACCUAUUCCGGGUUGGAGCCCUUACUCGGUAAAUCGAUUGUCUCUCUGUUUUUGGAGAUUUUUGUAGUGUGUUAAGUGUCCUACAUUAGAUUUUGUUUCUUUAAUAUGGUUUAGGCAUCUGUAAGCCCUGUCCAGUCUCCUGGUGCACAAACUGCUGUUGGAGCAACUUCUCUAUAUGGAGUGACACAACUGACUGCUACAACAUCAGCAGCGCCUCAUAGACCUUAUCCUUCUCUACUGUCUUCUGGUGCUCUCACAAGCAGUACCCAGAAGGAGCAUUAUACAUUUCCAGAGAGACCAGGGGAACCAGAAUGCCAGUACUACAUAAAAACUGGGGACUGUAAAUAUGGUUUGUCUUGCAGAUAUCAUCAUCCUCGUGAUAGAGUUGCACCCAUCACAGAUAGUGUCCUCAAUCCGCUUGGCCUGCCGUUGCGUCUGGUAUGCGAUUUUGUGUUCUCCAAAUGUAAUAUCCUUAAUGAAAACGAUUUAACGAAUGUUAAUCACCAAUUUUCUUAUUGUGAAUUAGGGGAUGCAGCCAUGCAGUUUCUACUUGCAAACCGGGCACUGCAAAUUCAGCUACAAGUGCAAGUUCGAUCAUCCCAUAGGAGGAGGUGCCAUGCGAUACAGUCCGUUGGCUUCAUCCCUGGUUGAUAUGCCUAUUGCAACCUAGUAGGGUCCUUACUGGCUGCCCUUUCCCCUCCUUCCAAUUCCUAUGAACUCAGACCCCAACUCUUUUCUGGACUACCUCCCAGAAAGAUAACAUAUCUGAGCAGGAGCCCUCCUGGUCUUGGACAAUUCAACAGUCCAGUUGGAUUGAUUCUCUCUCAGACUGGACCCCGGUCGCCUUACUGAUUCGCAUCUAUUUUUACAUUUAGGGUUCUAUGAGUUGAAGCUUAAGCAAAUCAGUGAUAGAACGAAUCUACCAUCCCGGAUGUCUAGUUUCUUCACAAGGUUUGAAUAUUCUCAGCAAGUAUAUGCAUAUGGAGGCUUGUGAUGGUACUUCAUACUUUCCUGCAUCUUAGUUUCCCUCUGAAAUAUCUGAGUUUUAGCUCCAUAAUGCUUCGCAAUGAAUUGCAAGGAGUCCAUUUACUGGACUUGAAUUAUUGGCCUACAACUUUGUAGCUUACACGUCCUCGGAUAAACUCCCUUAGGAGGACAAAUUUUACAACAUGGAAAAAUUGUACUGUCACGAUUAGAAUCUGAAGUACAGUUUGCAAAUUUAUGCACCCAGAAAAGAAAUUUAGAGCCUCUGCUUUCUGAUGAUGAUGCCAAGAAGUAGAGAACGUAAGUCUGAUGGGACGAGAAGUGUCGCAUAAACAAAAUGUGUGGUGAUCAAACUGGGACUCCUAGUUCAGAAAUCUUCAGAAUCUGCUUAUCUAGGUCUGUUUUCUGCUUUUUCAAAUUGGAUGCCAUUGAAGCCACCUAAUUCACAGGAGUGGGAGAGUGAACAUAUAGAUAGAGAAGAAAAGGACUCAUAAAUAAACGAUGAUGCCUACAUAUUUACUAAACUCACCUCAAGUCGUAGUUUCAGGGCUUCUCUUCCAGGGAUUUCUCGCAGACCAUCCACCAAAUCUAUCAUACAUACAAAAUUGCAAUAGCAUGAGUGCUCAAGCUUUCUCAAGACGAGAUUCGAAAAAUCAAUUAGUUCUUUACAAGGGGAGUUUGGUCACUGAGCUGGAAGAACAUGUUAGAGCUAGAAUGUUUAAGUCUUAACCAACAUAAUCUUAUGACCAUGGUAGUAUUACCAGAAGCCUGCCGCUCAACCUUGUAAACUGAUUUAGCUAGACUUCUUAUUUGAUUUCCUGCACCCCUGCAUGUACAAACAACAAUUUUCAAACAAGUAAGAAGUAGCAGCGUGCACAAGAGACUGAAGAACUUUUACAUGAGCUCGGCAUGGCCAUGUUUUAUGUCUUUGUGAGCUAAAGCAGCCCUUUCAAGCAACUUUUGGCUGUCCUUCUUCAUCUGAUCAACAGACACACAGAAGUCUUUAACAUUCUUCUCAGCUCUAUGGAAUCGUGACUGCACAAGACAAAACAUAAACCCAACCCGUCUGGUGAGGCAAAACAAGUUCUCAAUAGCUGAAGGGGAGAUUGCAAUAGUGCUGGUACAGGAAAAAGAUGGACACCUCCUCAGUCUCAAAUCGACCCCAUGUCUGCCGCAAUAGAAAUCUCCGUGGACCUGGUGAUUGAAAUAUCUUCUAACAUGAGUAAACAAUGAGCUAAUUCAUCUUGUUUAUACCACAAUGUGGGUAGUUAUGCUUUUUUUAAAGGUCAAGUAGUACAACAAUUGGAACUAUUGAUGAUUAAUUCCCAUUAUUCAACUAGCUAAUGACGACAUUAUGAAGAAAUAGAUUCUAUAGUCGAUCCCAGUGCAGAUGAUUUCGUUUCAAAGACUAAAUUACCUCGCAUGAGAAUAAGGGAAGAGGCGAGCACAACUCCAAGAGAAGCAACUGGGUGUUCUUUGGAAGUGGCUAGUCCAUCUGGAGAGAAGCAAACAAUCGAUAAACAGAAACAACGACCAAGUUAAAGAAUGAAGCUACAAAUUAGUGUAAGGAAUACCUUUUAGUUUGGUGAAGAGAGCAUCUUCAUAAGUCCUCAAAUUAGAGAUGGCACGAGGCACGUAACGAUCCUAAAGCACCCAACUUACUUUGUAAGUUAUCUGAACCAAACGGACAGUGAUAAAAAAGUGUACACAUAACAUGUAAGCGAGACCCGAAGGUAACCUGCAGGUUCUGCAAAUGGUAUGAGGAGCAUCGCCGAAAGCCAUUGGCAGAGCGUAUUGCCGAAUCCUUUGAUUCUACUACCGACUUCUGCAAAUCGUACACCCAGUUACCGCUUGCUCCUGCAGCUGUUGCAUUGUUCAUCACAUCUUUGCCUGAUUUGGCCACUUCUUCUACUUUCCCUCCGACAAUUGAAAAUUCGUUGCUGUUUUGGCUUUCGACAAUUGCAUCUCCCAUCCCUCAGCUUCACACCUCUUUCACUUUGCUUGGCUCUUCUGUUGGAUUAGAUUAAGGCUCACUGCACUCUUUCCUUCAAAAAGUACGGUAUAAAUAAGAAUGAGCUCAAUUGCAGAUAGCAAGCAACUGAGAAUGAAGCAAACGCUAUUCUGAUCAGCUGCAAACCAAAAUGCAACAAUCCUAAAUCCAUAAUCUAGUGAAUUGAGAAUGGAGCUUCACCCGUGCCCUUCUUACAUGCCAUUUCUUUUCUUUUUUGUUGUAAUUUUCCUUAUUCUUUACAUAAUGAUGUUUCUACCACUAACGCAAUAGCUGAUUUCAAAACCAACUAGAUGCAGAGGUGAUGAAAUUUGCUUUGAAAACAAGCAGGGAAAAAAGCCACGAUAAAAGAAUUCGAUUCAACUGCAGAACAAAAUACGAAAAAAUCGUAUUGAGAUCGAAACAGCAGAGAAGAUUGAGACUUUGGGGAAAACACGCUGCGAAUUCAGAUUGGAAUCCGGUCAACCAAGGCCCGUGUGAGUAAGCAGCAGAAAGAGGAAAGCGGUGAUGAACAAUAUGUCUGUACCUGUUUUUUGUGCGAAGCGUGAGAGAUAUGAAUUAGUAGGUGGCCGGCGUCGGAAUAAUCUUCCGGGGACGAAUCGAUUGAAUCAAUCUUCCGGUGAAAAGUUAUUUGUUAAAAUGAAAACCUAACUACAAACAAGGGCGAAAACGAGAGAAACGCCAGAAGAAGAAACAAUUUGGUGUCGGAGCGAAAGAAGUGGAUUUCCGAUAAGACCCAUUACCCGACCCGAAAUUGUUGGUACCCAAGGGAAGCCCAAUCGACUAGCGGCAGACGUGACCGUUUAAGUACUAAAGCGCAUUGGGAUUAGACGGGAACGUGAAAAACACCGCAAUAAUAGCAUCUUGUGCCCAACUCAAAAUUUCAUUUGAAAUCAAACUAAGUUGGGAAAUUUCAAUUAAAUCAUAUUCAAAAUGUAAAGAUAAUGUAGGAUUGCUGAUAAAAAAUAUGUUAUAGAUUAAUUAUGAUCAAGGUUAACUAAGAAAUUAAUAAUUCGGUUGUUUUUUUAAUAGAUAUGUUCGACUUUAUUAUUUAGUCCCGAUUCAACAUCUCACUGGCGAUCUCAGAAUAGUGUUGGUGGGUGAGCUCACUGUCCCCCACCAGACACUGAAUCGCAGCUUGCGAAUCCAGCUACACCGGUACUUUCCUCUACCCUUUCUCCCAAACUAGCUAUAACCCUGCCACUACAUCUCUCGACUCGGCCCUUGCGAUCGAGCAGAUCUCGAUGUUCAUACUAUAAGCUUCCAAGCAGCAACCAUCAACAUCACGGAACAAGCCUCCUGCAACUGCUCAUUCGGUCUCAAGAAUAAUAGACACGUUAGAGUUGAGAGCAGAUUGUAUUUUUUAUAGAUUGUGCACCUAACUAGUAGUGAAGUUUCGGACAAAAAUUAGACUCUCCCAUCAAUGUUUUUUUAACUAGAAAAAGCAAAGAUGACAUUAUAAGAAAUAGGAAACGAAAGAAAUAUAAUAUCAAUAUCUAUAUGUAGGAUGUGCUUGACUCAAAACAUUCAAAAAUUUAAUAAUUUAUGCAGAAAACUGUAAAAAGGUUAGUUGUCAUUUAAUUUAAUGGGAACUGAUAUAUACUCCAAGAAUCUAUUGUGCUAACAACACAUAUUUAACAACGGAUAACAAUCCGCUGUUAAACAUAAAAUUUAACGGCGGCUAAUGGUUAAUUUAACAGUAAAUUCAGUAUCGUCGUUAAAUUGGAAACCUAACAGCAGAUUUUCCAUGCCAGAUUUUCAGACGCGCGAACCCCCGCCAAAGAGAAACAACGUCAUCUCUUGUCAGUUUAACAACGGAUUGUAUCCACUGUUAAAAUCACCGUUGUUACGCUACUUUUAACAGCGGAUUAAACAAACCGUUGUUAAAGUGGAUGAGGAUAUCCAACGGCAGCAGUUUCAAUCUCAUUCUUUCAAUCUCAAAAUAUACAACACCCACACACCCACAAAAAAUUCCAUCACAUCUUCAAUCAUCGCCGCCCAAAGGCUUAAUUACUGCUUUCUACUAGAGAUCGAGUAGUGUGUCUCUUAAAAUAAGACAUUCAAGUUUCAAACCAAUCGGACGAAGGUCAUGCAUAUAAUCUUGGAGAUUUCAUUCAUUAGUGACAAGUUUGAUAUCCAACCGUAAACAAUCAAGCUAGGGACUUGAAGUUUAAUUUUUGUUAUAGUAAAGUUAGAACAUGUAGAGAAACCUCAAGAAAAGCGUAAAUCAGAGGAAUCUACAAAUACAUGAUCUGGAUAUGAUAGAUUGUCCGGUCGUCUGUGGGGAAUUAUAGAUUGCCAGGUAGCUUGCGACCAAUCAUUCAUAAUAAAGCUGGAAAGAGGAAUCAUAAUAUCAUAUGGUCGGGAAUUAAAGUUUGCUGGAGAAAUGACAGAGUUGGAUUAUAUGUAUAUAUAUUGCACAAAAGUAGUGAAUAUGCAACCAAGGAACAAAACUUGUAUGCAAAAGGAAAGCUUGCCAUAUUUUCGCAUGCUUCAGAUCAGGCUGCUGCACCAAUGCACAGUGUAGCUAUCAUUUCAUUUCUUAAUUCUUACGCCUCACCUUAUUAUCAUUGUUGUUCAUGGCUCUGAAAAUGACAAUUCACAGACCUCCAAUGAUUAUGCCUUUCAUUCCAUGUGGCUGUUGAAAUUAACUGAUCAUCAUUUUCAGAUUUUUCCUGGCCUACUUUGAGUUUUGUGAAAAAGAGAAAGCUACCAUCUUCUCAAGUGUUGAAAUUGGAGAUUGAUUGGCAUAUAAAAACCAUCCUAAACCACCCAACUUUUAAUAGCUAUGUAACGUAUCUGAACCAAGCUGACAUACAUACAGUGAUGAGGUUGGAAAUAUAUGGAGUAUACAGCUGUGUACAUAUCCCAGGUAGAAAAGAUUUAUAUGUACAGCGUGAUCAGAGGGCUAAAUAAGAUCCUUGGAUUUUGAUCUAGCUGUAUAUGGUGUAGUGAUGUUUUAACUGCCGAAUAUUGAGAGUAAAUGACAUAGAUCCAUGAUGCUUGAAAUCCAACACUCUCCAGUACAAACUAAGAAGGUAGAACCAUAUCCCAGGGUGGUAUGGUUGGUGAGGUUUGCUUAAUUAUACUGUAUGUGGAUAUAUGUUCGACGUAUUAAGAGAAAAUAUAUAUAUAAAUGUGACGCGUCAUGUGUUUGUUAGACAAUCGCAUUUUUCUGCAUCAAACUAUUAUGAGUGUUGUGUUGCUGGCUGGAGAGUGUUGUAUGUUGUACCAAGGAUAAAAAAAGCUAGAGUAUGGUAAACACAAGUGAGUUGGAUUUUCAUAGGGAUUCUCCAGAAAACAAAAGUCCGAAAGAAGAACCGGCCGAAAAACUCCCCAGAACAAGAAGCCAUCAUAUUCAUAUCAGACUUUGCACCUAAACAACACAUUCAACUGGGGAAGUGAUAAUCAAGCAUCCGAUCUCGAUCACAUUGUCUACAUCCGGAGCGUGAAAAUUAGUGACAUGUAUUGAUGAUGAAGAGUGACAAACAGUGAAACUAGCGUUCCAAUAGUACUUUUUCCAUUGAACAGAAUUGAAGAAAUACAUAUUGUGAAUGAGAGAUAGGUGUAAGAAAUGCAUGCCCAGCAGCUAGCUAGCCCAUCAAAUCUGAUUGCAGUAGCAGCAGCUUCGUAAUGCAUUUCUUACAUCCCAUAUCUUACGACAACAUAAUUAUGCAUUGCUAACUAGCUAGAGCCAAAUCUAUAGCUAUAUGACGACGACAUUAUAGAGUUACGGGAGUAGUAAUUAGCUAGCUAGUUUAUAAGAAAAAAAUUAGAUAGGUAAAGUAGGUAAUUAAUCGGACCGGUACCCUCAAUUCCCCUGUGCAAUGCAACGAUGACACUCUCCCACUUCUGCCCACCUAGAAACUAGGGAGAGUGUAGUUGCAAAGCCAAUUUGCUUGUGUUUCCCUUUCUUUCUCUGUGUCGCCGCAAAGAUUCUCUGUUCCCUUGCAGCUAGUGCUGGCCAUGGUCGGCAGACACAGUUGAUGAACGUGUAUCUGCCGAUCACGGCCCUUGCUAGUUAGAGCUGCAAUGAUGGUUUUGUUAGAGGAAAGGUUAACGUGAAUGCUUCUUGAGGCCAAGGUAGCAUGGCCAAAAGCAGCAGCAGCAACAUGAUAUCAAAACUUAGGUAGGUGGGAGUAUAGUAGUUCAAGAAAAUGGGAGGGAGGAGGAAGCUGCCAAGUGUGGAAAAGAGUAGGAGGAUAUAACACAAGGAGUCUGUAUAUAAAGGCGUGAUUGCAGCGUUUUGGUCCAAUGUGGCCUGUGCUCUGUGGACUCGUAUUUUUUUCUAAAAUAUUUAUUGAGUGAUAAAAUUAGGUGUCUCGUCACCAAUAAAAGAAUCCUACAUACAUAAGGGGUUAGUCAAUAAACUUUUUACUUUUCCAAUUUUCAAUUUGAAUUUGUCGCACUUAAAAAAUACCUACUAAAUCAUUAUAGUGAUUACUAGUCAUGUGUAUAAAAAUCUAUUAAAAAGUCAUAAUUAUUUUGGAGAUGACAUUAUACAAAUUUUUAAAAUGUAUAAAAAUGUGACUAAUUUUUUAAGCAAAGUGAAAAAAUACUCAUUUAUUAAUCAUGAACUUCUAAACACAAAUUGUCUUAAAAGUUCAGACAUAUAUAAAAUGUGGAAUGACCUCACAUCUGUCACUAAACACGAGUAAUUAUAUGAUUAUAGUUGCACACUAGUCUAACUCAUCUUCGAAAACACUAGUAAAUCGUAACGAAUAGAGUCCAACUUAUUCAAAAGAAAAAAAAACAAUGAAAAAGGUCAUAAGUUAUUGAUGAUUGCUUUCUUUUAACGAAAUAUACAUAUACAGUGUCUAGUAUUGCUUGUUGGGAACUUUAGGAAAAGUGAUGUUGAAAUACUAAUAACUUGGUCCAAGUAAGAGCAUGUUUGUGGGGAAUGAAAAUAACUGCACUAACCCGAUUCUCGAGGCUACCCCAUUUGUAGUUUUCGUAUUCACACACACAUAUAUUUAACUACUCCUAAAAAGUAAACCAUAAUUGGAUUUUUUUUUUCAUUUUAAUUUUUUCAUUAGUUGGACUAUUGACUAAUGUAGUUAUGGAGAUCGAUAUAUCGAGUUGGAAUCCUAAUUUCUCUGAGAAAGAGAAGUAGUAAUUUAAAUUUCGAAAAAAUGAUAUUUGUAUAAUGUGUUAUUCGAAAAGUGGUUUGUCGGAAAAGGUGUGGUGAUACAAUUUCUUUCACAUUUAUGUGGAAAUUGAGAAGUGAGAACACAGUUGCACAUUUACACUAAAAUGAAUCGUUGGAAACAAAGAAGAUAAUUAGUUAGAUAUUGGGAACAAAGCAUGCAAUAAAUAUAAUAUUAUUUUGGUAUAUAAAAGAGAGCAUGCAGAGUAGGGCACACGAUCGCUGAGCUCGAGACAGAGUGGGAAACGAAAAGCAGAGUAGUGAGUGAUAUAAUAGAACAACUUUUUAGAUUAAUUGCCAAAUUAUUGAUGAGAGAGUUAAUUAGUUUAAGUUUUUAACUUUCCAAUUUCUGGAAAUUAGAGCUCAUUUGCAUGGAAGGAUGUGCAAUCUGAAAGCUACGUGCAGCUACGUCCACUAUUAUUUCUUUCUUUUUCUGUGUAAUUUUUUGUUUUUUUCUUACAUGAAUGGAUGGAUGAUUGAACAAUUAUGCACUGUUUAUUAGACAACUCUACGUGGGAUUUGUUACGAAUGUUGGGGAUAUUGUCAACUUUCGCCUAAUCUCCAGUCCGGCCUGGGUGCUGAAAUCCAUUUUUAUCCAACGGUAGUAGUGGGUCCAAUAGAUUCAACGGUCAAAUGCGUCCUAACUUGUUUUUUCUUUUUAUAUCAUAUUUUUUAGACUCGGGUUUGUUUUAAAUUGAAUUUUGGGUUUUGGUCUUGGAUUUUUCAUUUUUAGUUUUAAAUUUUGGAUUUGGUUUAGAUAAAAAAAAUCAUAUUCAAUUGGGUUUUAAUUUUAGGCGUUGGAUCAAACUUAAAAUUUAAAAUUUAAAUUGAAAAUCUAAUACUCUAGAUAUAGGGUUGGUAUACAUCACCCAUGACUAGUUUUGUUAUAAAAUUUUGUAAUGUGCUUGUUUUGUUCCUAUAAUAUUGGGUUCGAGAGGUUAUGUGUAUGAACCUGAUAGACCAACUCUAGGCCCACCCUCGAUGUCACCAAGGUCCAACCGCAAUUCUCGACUCAAUCCACAUUUCGUUGAUGAGUACUGAUGCGACCCAUUCGUCCAGGAGUCGGCAUUGCUUGCAAUACUAGAAUAGAUUUCCAAUUCAAUAGUUUGUUUGAACUCUUUAUUCGGUUAUGCUUAGUCGAUGAAGGAGAGGAAUGUGGGAGGUUAGUUCUCCAUUCUUAGGAGUAGCAGUUCAGAGUUGCUGCUCGUCUACUGUUAUUUAAGUUCAUGAGAUAAAUGGACUAAGCAAACAUUAGUAAUUUUAGAAAUCACCUGGUUAUUUUUGUCAAGAAAAUAGAACCCGGUUGCUGUAUUUUCGACAUAUUUUUUUCUAUUAUAAACUAUAUUUUUGUGUGUCGAAAUAUAUUUAAAUUUAGAAUUUUGAGUACAUGUUUGGUUCUCUUGCCCCUUGGGGCCGUGUUAUGGUGUUUGAUAUGUUUUUGGUACAUUUCAGGUGUCAUAUGACGUUUAGAGAUGAGCCAUAACAUGACGGGGAGGCCGGAACAACUCAAAACGUUCGAAUUGGGAAGAAAACGUCACUGUUUAGUAUUUUGAGCAUAACUCAUCAAUCGGAAGUCCAAUUGAUGCAAAGUCAGUGACGUUGGAAAUAUAAUUCGAUUGUCUACAACUUUUAUGUUGACGCCAUGGUCACAUUCCAUAUACUUAAACAACACGUAACGUUCUUAAAGAACACGACCGUGUCAUUUUCUCUUGAAAGCAACCGGAAAGCUUCUGUUGGAAGGAGCAUGCCCGUGUCCUUUAGGAACACGGCGUGUUCCAAGGAAUAAGACUUGAUCUUCUAGGACACGACGUGUCCUUCCUCCAGACGGGUUUUACCAAACAUUUCCUUCUCCAAUUCGAAAGAGAAGUCUAUAAAUACCCCCGAGACCCCCUAUGUUUUUCCAGGCUAAACCUUUUGUGUGGUUUGGAUUAGAUGAAACUUUAGCUUAACUUUUGAAUGGAUGAUGGGUUUCUAAACUUUUGAUAUUGCUAUCGAUGUUAUUCAAGAUUAUCGUGUGUUCUUGCUAAACCUAAUUUCAGAUUCAUUCUCGUUUGAUAAUCUUGAUGGAAUCAUCGUCAUUGAUUUGUGGGUCCGAGAGGAACAUAAUAGAUUGAUAGGUCAAUUAGGAAGAACUCUAGGUUACUCGUUAGCUCGAGAGAGGAGCGUUUAAUCUAGUCUUUUUGCAUCGUUUAUCGUUGUGGCAUUUUCAUGGAACACCUUUAAUGCAUUCUGCUUGGGUGUAGAUUAGCUUGAGAAGUGAGUCUAUUGAUUACGAAGAUGAAUAUGAUUUGGGAGUAUCAUUUGAAGUAGUAGAUGAAGUGGUAGAAGAGUUAUCUUUCUCUGAAGAUUAUCUAAUUGCUCGAGAUGGAGAGUUAGAAGAGUUUGAAAGGGAGGAAGUGCCUUUCCUUGAAGACAACCUAUUUUUUCACGAUGAGGAAUUAGAAAAAUUGGAAGAGGAGUUUGUGGAAGAGAUGUGGGAAGAUGAAGAGCCUCUAUAUAAGAUGAAGAGCCUCUCUAUAAUGACAUUCAAACUACCAUCGAGCAUUCAAUCAUUUGACGUCCCCCUCCAAUUGUGGUCCCAUCAAGAGAAACUGAGACCCUUCUUGAUUCUUGUUUGGUUAUGAAGUACUUAUGUCAGAAGAUUGAUAAUGAGUGCUUCACACACAAGAUUCGAGAGGACACUAUCUCGGAACCAGACCUGCUUGCCCUAAAGGACUUCUCAAGCUACACCAUCAAAAUCAAGGAUAGUUGAGGAUACCAGUGUCGGCACGCCAUACUACCUCUUCCCUCCUCAAGAAGUGGCGACCAUGAAGAGAUUUCCACUUCAAGGCAUGAAUUGGAGCUCACAACCACGUUACCGGCUUCUCCAUCAAUCUCUUAGGGUGCUACUUGGGAUUCAACUCCAAUCCUUGAAGAAAAUAAUAGAAUUGAAGGAGGUUCUAAGUUGGACGGCCUAAUUCAGGUAUCGUCUAGCUCAAAGACGUAAAAGAAAGAGCGCUUCUUGGGAGGCAAUCUGAGCAUUGAGUCUUUUCUUUUAUUUCAUUUUUCAUUUUGAGUGUCGUGGUGUGUCUUGUGCCGAGUCUGUCAAGUUUGGAUGUAGAAGUUUGUUAUGUUGUGAACCUCUUAUUUCUUUUGUUUCUCUCUGGCUGUAGAACUCUAAUCCUAUCCAGAUGAUGUCUCAAUCUCAUGCCACGACUGAUAGGAGUUUUGAUCCUCGCCUAGACUCUACGUGUGCUCACUAUCGUGAUCUCAAAUUUAGUACCAUAUUUUCUGACCCUGUCUCACUUGAUUGUUUGGUCCAUUAAGGACAAUGUCUUAUUUAAGUGUGGGGUGAAUUAGGAUGCUUCUAAAUUGAUGGGUACAUAACUUGUGAGUUAUAUUGCUGAAUUGCUUUCCUUACUUUUCGAAACUCCCUCUUGAGCUUAGUUUGUGGAUGUUAGUGAACGCAUGUUUAGUGUUCUCAUUCUAUUUGUGGAUGUCUUGGAUGUUAGGAUGUCCUUUUUGAACCACCCACAAUUUGGCCAAAAUUAGUAUACUAGAGACUCAUAUAUAUGUUAAAAAUAAAUUUCUACCUUCCACUGUUUUGUUCAAUGUUCCAGUAGAGUGUAUGUGUAUCCACCCAACGAAUUUGCCUAGGUUGUUAUGAAGCUUAAAACGGGCGGCAGUAGUCUGAAUGAGGCUGCUAAAAUAAAAUGUCGUGGGGGUUUAAUUGCAACUGAAACACGUAGGGUGACACUAGAGGUCCGCCAUCUUUCCAACCUUUAUGAGGCUUGGGUCGUGGGCCGAAAACUGGUUACUUCCAAGUCCAGCUGAAUUUGCGAUUAUUUCCCCAUUUAGAAAAAAGGCCAUAUCUAAAAAAGCAAUAAAGAAAGAAAAGCAAACAAAGAAAAGAAGCAACAUUUCAAUAUUUGAGCUUUGUUUUCAGUAAUCUGUAGAGUUAGAUAGUCAAUUAAGCAACUCAAAAUAAGAGGGAGGUGUUAGCAUAACUUGAGUGCUAUUAAAAAUUGAAACACCUCCUCCCUCAGGACGGAAGAGAAAUCCCGGCCAGGACGAGCUGUCAGUCUGUUAUUUUCGCUGGCAACUAGAAGGUAUAAGUGUUUGGGGGAUAUGGAUACACUCUGGUUGUUAGGUGUCAAAUCAUUUAUAUCAUAUGCAUGAGUCUAUCUUAUACUAAUUUAAAGGAUUCAGUGUCUCAUGCCUAAUUGUGUGGUUUGUUGAUUGAAUUGCAUUUAUGAACACCAUGAUAGAAUUAAGGACCUGAGCUCUGUCUUCCGAUCACUACAUGUUGAGUUCUUUAUAGAGAGCGAUUAUUAGAUUUGCUUGAGGAAAAACAUGCAUUUAAGUGUGGGGUGAUUUGAUGUGCUGUAUUUUUAACACACUUUUCUCGUUAUAAACUAUAUUUUUGUGUGUCGAAAUUCAGGAUUUUGAGUACAUGUUUGGUUCUCUUGCCCCCCCCCCCAGGGGUCGUGUUAUGAUGUUUUGGUACAUUUCAGGUGUCAUAUGAUAUUUAGAGAGGAAGCAAGACACGACGGGGUGGCCGGAACAACUCAAAAAGUUCGACUUGGGAAGAAAACGUUACUGUUUAGUAUUUUGAGCAUAACUCAUCGCUCGAAAGUCCAAUUGAUACACGGUCAGCGGCGUUGGAAAGAUAAUUCGAUUGUCUACAACUUUUAUGUUGACUCUAUGGUCACAUUUAAUAUAUUUAAGGAACACGGCCAUGUCUUUUUCUCUAGAAAGCAACCUGAGAGCCUCUGUUGGGAGGAACACGGCGUGUCCUUCUAAGACGUGGCGUGUUCCUCCUUCAGACGGAUUUUCCAAACUUUUUCUUCUCCAAUUCGGAAGAGAAGCCUAUAAAUACUCCCGAGACCCACUAUGGACGAGACAUACUUCAUUAUACACAUAUUUUCGAGCUCUUAAAGAGAGCUAGGAUUACAGAGAGACGAUUGAAGCGAGAAGAUCAACUACAAUUGACAAAGGGCGAAUCAUCAAGUCAAAUAUUGGGAUUUCCACGAAGAACGUGUCGUCUUCUUCGGUUUUUCUUCUCUUCUCUUGUGAUUUAUUUUCUGAAACAAUGAGCGGCUAAACCUUUUGUGUUGUUUUAAUUAGAUGGAACUUUAGCUUUGCUUUUGAAUGGAUAAUGGGUUUCUAAACCUUUGAUAUUGCUAUCGAUGUUAUUCAAAAUUAUCGUGUGUUCUUGCUAAACCUAAUUUCAAAUUCAUUCUCAUCUGAUCAUCCUGAUUGAAUCAUCGUCAUUGAUUUGUGGGUCCGAGAGGAACAUAUAUUGAUAGGUCGCUUAGGAAGAACUCUAGGUUACUCAUUAGCUCGAGAGAGGAGCGUUUAAUCUAGACUUUUUGCAUCGUUUAUCGUCGUGGCAUUUUCAUCGAACACCUUUAAUGCGUUCUGCGUGGGUGUAGAUUAGCUCGAGAGAGGAGUCUACGGUCGAGCGGAAUAGAUCAUUAGAGGCGCGAGAGUGAUCUAAGACUAUCGUAAGAAAUCUCCAAACCAUUAUAACUUGAAUAAUUGAGAUUACAUAUCGUUCAUCCAUGCAUUGCUAGCUAUUGUAGGUUCGAGUCCAAACAACCUUCAUCUAAUAUUUGAAACUCAAUUUCUUGCAUUUUGAUUUGUUUUAUUUCAGUCAUUAGUUUAUAAUUGGAUACAUAAGUAAUCGUUCACUGUUACUUGAUUUAAUUAGCUUAAUCAAUUUGAGUAAUAGCAUUAAAAAGAUCCUAGAAAAAUACGAGUCCAUUCAUUCAUUUUAAUGAAUAUUUAAUUAACGGGAUAAAAAUCCGUUUUUCAUUCCUAUUCGUUAUUGCAAUUCAUUCGCUUAUCAGAACCAUUAUUAAAUUACCAGUUGCCAUCCAAAACGAAACUAUUGUCUCCCCCUGACUAUUUUCAUCCUCUAGAUCAUUUUUGGAAAGCUAACAGUAAAUCAGUCGCACAAUGGGUAUUUGAGCACCUGGAUUUUCCUUUUUAAUAUAAUUAAGCAAAAACCUAGAUUGAGUCAUGGGAAGACGUGGUGAUGAGUUGGGAAUUGGGUGUGAAAGUCACAUUAAAUUUUAACUUCCAAAUAUUAAAUUAUAAAAUUAAAUUUUUAAUUGUAUUUCAAACUUUAAUUUUUUAUCAUAAAUAUAUAAUAGUAUCUUAAACCCUAAACAUUAAACAAUAACCUAAAAUUUUUUAAUUUUAAACAUAACAUAUAACAAAAAUACAACAGAGUGUAUUGUGUACACAUAAAUACUAAAAUCUUUUUCAUGUAUUUAUUAUUUUUAUUCAGCAUUUUAAUUAAUCUUUAUACUUAUAUAAUGAUAAAUAAUAGUAUUUUUACAUGACAAGACAAACGGCUGUUAUCACAACAUGUCCAUCCGGUUCAGGUCGGACACCACAGUCUGAAGGGCUUUUUUUAAUACAAUCAUCCUGAUAUAUAUCAGUCAUUCAGUAAGGCUUCUUACAUACGAUCAAUUGUGCAUGUGAAACACAAAUGAUGAUCACCAAUCAUCAUCCAAUGAUGCCAAAAAAAUGUGAACUAUUUGUGGCAAUGAUGGAUGAUACAUUCUCACAACAGUGGAAUAAAAGACAAAGGGUAAAGUAUUGAGUUGAAUUUAAUAAAGUUGUCAAACCUUGCUGGCCGGGGGGGGGGGGGGGGGGNNNNNNNNNNNNNNNNGGGGGGGAAAGAUGGUGAUGGCAGCUUUGUCAAUGUCCACUGUCGACUGAUCGAUCCACUUCAACAAUUUAACAAAUGACAUUAUUAUCGGUCCAAAUGAUCACUUUCAAUCGGUUCAACCAAUAAACCAUUUAUUAAUGGAGGAGUAGAAUCGGUUGAGUAGCGCAUUUCAACUUGAGUGGCCAGGGCUGUUCCUAACAAGGACGCAUGGUGCCUUAGUAUUUGUGUGUGAGGGGCCGGGUAAGGCGGAUAUGGAUUAUGUGCGUAAAUUAAAGUGAAUUUGUAUGAAUAAUUUGAUAAUUUGUAUGAAAAUGUAUAAUUUGUGCAUGCAUUAAAUGAUUUUGUCUCAUAAUAACAAGGGACUUCACCCUUGUUAAUUCAUAGCCGGCCACUUUCAUUAGACAAUCACAAAUUAAAUAUGAUAUUUUGUGUAUGUUAUUUGAGGUAUGUUACGUUUUUAAGUUUACUAAUAAUUCAUAGAAAUAAGUUAAUAUUUGAAUUGGUUUUGAAGUUCGAGUUCAAACCAACCAACAAGCAUAUUGCAAGUCGAACAUAUCCUAAUUCAAUUGUGAUUUAUUCAAAAUCGAAUCAAAUUACACAUAAACAUUUUUCAAAUCGAAUGCCAAGCUCCUUACGAGCAAGAACAGCCCUGAUAAUUGAGAAAUUAAUACUGUACUAGUAGAAUGAAAAAAGGCACGACAUUGGCUUUUUGGGUGAAAUGUAAAAUGAUGGAAGAAAGGAAGGCGAUCAAAUGGGUACAAGCCCUAGAAAUAUGAUUUUGUAUGUCGAAGAAUAUCCACUUUACAUCAAAGCUUUCUGCUUGCUUUAAUGCCAAGUCCGCCAUUGGAUUCCUUUUCCAAUGGUGUUUGCUAUUAUUUCCAUCUCGUUAAUUUAUCAUAUUCUCUAAUUCCCACCACCUACAUACAUGAUACAUACACAUCAAUGACACAUGCAAUGCAUCAUGGUGAUGGAUACUAAAUUGUGUGAUAAAGUGGUGCAUAUAUGGGGACUGAGUUUUCUUCUUUCUUUCUUUCUUUCUUUCUUUUGUUAUUUGGUUGCUCUCUGUUCAAAGUUGACUCUUGUUUGUUUUGCUUGCUUUUUCUAUACUCAUUGUCGCUGCACUGCAUGCCGAUAAUAUUGGAUUCCUUCACCACUAACUAGUCUAAUCUACCAGCUAGCUAGGCUCCUUGUUUUAAUAUUUUUACUUAAGCUAAUAAGCUCCCAUCCACUUAUCUUUUUCCAUUAGUUCAAAAAAAUUAUGCUCUGACAUCAUCCUGACGCUGUGCACACGUCAGCUUCAUUUUUGUUUUCAGGCUAUUAUCAAUUCUUAUUUUCAUCAUGAGAUCGAUAUGUGACGCAUCAUGACGGAUGGGCUUGCUGAUUCUCCACGAAUUGCAUGCGACCCGCACAUCGGAACAUGCAGAGGUUUUGGGUUUGCAGUCCAUGAAGGGUUCCUACCCCGCCCAACCGGGAUUGAGUUUAGUCGUCCGCUACUAGUUAGUUUUUCGACCAUCGAGUCAGUCUAUUUCCUUUCGUCGAUUUUUCGUUUUUUGGGUUUUUGUCGUGUCGUCAUUUGCCGAGCAUAUAGCCGUUUUGAGAUGGUUGCAAUUAGGACGCAAAGGUUUGCUCAUCCGCUAUAACGAUGACGAAUUUUUCCCUUUUGUAGCCUACUUAUGGUUUCACACGAAUAUACGCCAUCGUAGUGAAAAAAUAGUUUAGGGCUAUGCAUGCAUUGUAGUAGAGGAAAAUAUCGUGGGUGAGCUUUGGGCCAAUUUGUGUCGUUCGGGCCCAAUUCAUUUACCAUUGCGGGUCCUUAAUUAGCUCCAGUACCACCGCUUACCUACUAGACCUAAAAUGGUUUGCAUAUAUGGACUUGGGCUGUGACCAAUUUCUGUCUCUCUCCGGUCCCACUUUCUGUCCGCUGUGCUUUGUUCAUCCACGCACCCCGCUGAGUGUAGAGUGUGCUCUCGUCGUCGCCGGUUAGUCUACUAUGAUCACGAUGGAUGUAUCAUACCAGGUCGAUCGGCGCUAAAGUAAAGUUAGGCUGAUCAACCCCUUGACUUGAUCCAUCGGUAACCGUGGGGUUUGCGUUGAAAUGCUGGUCCCUUUCAGGAACUCUGGGACUCGUAUCCGAGCUGAAUGUUUUGAUUAGUGGGUGGUUUUGCCUGCCAGUUUUCCCUUCACAUAGAUGAUUACUGUAAUCGUACAAACUUCAUAUCACAUAUCCGACAGGGACCGUGUUUAGCUUUCCUUCAUUUGACAUUUUCAAUCUUCUUCAUUGAUUGCGUCACCAAUGAUUGCGCCAGCAAUGCAAUUCUCGCGUGCUUCCUAUGAGAGCGAGCUUUUUUUUUUGCCAAUCUUCAAUCCAGAGCUCGUUGAGUUCGAUGGCCCAACCAGAUGCCAUACUGGAAUGGAUUCACAAGGAGAUGGGGUACAGGCCCCUGGGUCCUUACAUUACUUAUUCAACUAGCGAGUCCCAGCUACCUUCCGUCGAUGCGCUCCGGAAGAUUUGUCGCGGGAAUAUGAUUCCGGUUUGGAGUUUCUUGAUCAAUAGAGUGAAAUCAGAGAAGACGGUGAAGAGUAUAAAGAAGAACAUCGCGGUACACGGUGUUGAAGGUGACGGUGACGGGGGGCGGAGUGAAGGAGGUGGUAGGAGGAAGGAGAAGGAGGUAUCUAGUGCGGCUGAGAGUACGGAUUCGGCUUUGCAAGAAAGGGAAUUGGCUGCAAAGGAGAUGGAGAGGUUGAGGAACAUUGUUGGGCGGCAGAGGAAGGAUCUCAAAGCUAGAAUGUUGGAACUCUCUAGGGAAGAGGCCGAGAGAAAGAGAAUGAUCGAAGAACGUUCUAAAAAACAGGUGUGUAUCCGUUUCCAAUUUGACAUGAGAGCUUCACUGAUUUUUUAUGCUUAUAUGAAAAUGGUUUCCACAUUUGAAUGAUUCCCAAGUGUGUAGUUAUUCAUCCUGACGUGAAAUGUUCAAAUGCUAAAGUAGUUACCUACGCUCCCAUCUAGGUGUGGAAUUCCAGAAUGAUAAUGAUUCUGGUAUGAUUAUUAUUGCUGAAAUGUUGUUUACAUAUAUAUAUACAGGGUCUGCACCAUUAGGGUGCAGGAUCACCUCAUUUGUAAUCCCUAUAAAUCAGGGAUUACUCUACCUACUACUUUCUACUAUUAUUCUGCAUAGAUUAGGCUAGAAGAAUCAAAUAAUCCAGCUAACCUACUCUGAUUUCUACGCCUACUCAUACUCUACUAAUUACUGUAAUUCAACACUCCCCCUCAAGCUUGGCUGUAGAUGUUAUGAAGGCCAAGCUUGCCUUGUAAGUCAUCAAACAUAUCCCUAGGCAGUGCCUUAGUAAGAAUAUCUGCGAUCUGCUGCUUCGAUGGAACGUACUCCAUCUCGAAUUCCUUGUUGUUUACCUUCUCAGAAAUGAAAUGACGAUCCAGUUCAACAUGUUUAGUGCGAUCAUGAUGGACUGGAUUUUUCACAAUACUGAGUGCUGCCUGACUAUCACACAGCACUCUAACAGGCCCCUUAUCUUCCAUCUUGAGUUCCUUCAAGAUACGCCUUAACCAAACUCCCUCGCAAAUACCGUCUGCCAGUGCCCUAUACUCUGCUUCAGCACUGCUUCUUGAGACAACAGUCUGUUUCUUACUCCGCCAGGUCACUAAGUUCCCCCACACAUAGGUGCAAUACGCUGAGGUUGACCUUCGAUCUGUAAGGUCUCCAGCCCAACUUGCAUCCGUGUAUAUCGAAAUUCUGCGACUAGGAUGUUUUUGAAUUAGUAGCCCAACACCUGGAGUACUUUUUAAAUAUCUCAAUAUCCUCAUCACUGCCUCCAUAUGUUCUUCAUUUGGAUUGUGCAUAUGUUGGCUCACGAUGCUCACUGGAAAUGAGAUGUCUGGACGUGUGUGUGCUAAAUAUAUUAGCUUGCCUACCAAUUUUUGGUAACUCCCCCUUUCUACUGGCGCUGCUUCUUGGCCAAAACCAAAUUUCAGAUUGUGUUCCAUUGGUGUGCUGGCAGGUUUGCACCCAAUCAUCCCAGUCUCCUUUAACAAGUCUAGGACGUAUUUCCGUUGGGACAAACUCAGUCCCUUACUAGAUCGUGCUACUUCAAUUCCCAGGAAAUACCUCAGAUUUCCUAGGUCUUUUAUCUCAAAUUCCAGUGCCAGCUUCUCCUUGAGCUUUCUGAUUUCUGUUUCAUCAUCCCCUGUGAUGAUAAUGUCAUCAACGUAUACAAUAAGGAUGGCCUUCCUCCCUUCCUGAUUCUGUUUUAUGAACAUCGUGUGAUCUGUUUGGCACUGAUAGUAUCCGUACCCUUUCACUGAUUGUGAGAACCUCUCGAACCAUGCUCGUGGUGACUGCUUGAGGCCAUACAGUGCCUUUCUCAGUCUACACACCAUUCCUGGUUCAGUGGUAACACCUGCUGGAACCUUCAUGUACACCUCCUCACUUAAAUCUCCGUUGAGGAAAGCAUUCUUCACAUCUAGUUGGUAUAGGGGCCAGUCUAGAUUUACUGCAAUGCUUAGGAGAACUCUCACAGUUUUCAACUUGGCUACUGGAGCAAAUGUCUCCUCGUAGUCCACUCCAUAGCACUGUGUAAAUCCUCUGGCUACAAGACGAGCCUUAUACCUCUCAAUCUUCCCUUCUGAGGUAUACUUCACUGUGAAUAUCCACUUGCAGUCGACUGUGGAUUUCCCUGUGGGCAGUCUUACUAUGUCCCAUGUCCUAUUCUUUAGGAGUGCAUUUAUCUCUUCCAGUACUGCUGCCUUCCAGUGGGGUAUACCCAUAGCCUCCUCAAUAGAGUGAGGAAUCUGUGUAUCAUCGAGAGUCCCUACAAACGCCUUGUAUUUCUGGCUUAGGUUUCCAUAUGAAACCCAUCUCUCAAUGGGGUGAGUUGUACACGAUCUAGUCCCUUUCCUGUGUGCAAUUGGAAGGUAGACUGUAUCAUCCACCCCAAUCUCUUCUACACCAGCGUCCUGGAUUUCCUCUUCUGUCUGGUCAUGAUUCCUGACUUCAUCACCAUGUUCAACUCCUUGAUCCAUUUGAUUUGACUCAUCUUCUUGGGAGGUCAGGUUCUCAUCAAAUUCCUGGACAGGUUGAGCAUGUGAGUUGACUGUCGCCUUCUUCCUACGCUGAUAAACCAGGAGAGGAGGGGUUUGGCUGGGUUUUUCUGUGGGAGUGGAUUGGACUACCUCAGGAGAAUCUAGAACAAUUUGAGAGUCGAGAGUAGUAAUACUCCCAAUGGAGGACUCAACCAUAGGAUUCUCCCCCUGAGGCGGACAGUGGGAGUAAUAAGGGAGAUUUUCAAAAAACGUGACAUUUUUUGAGUGAUAGACUUUGUGGUUAUGUGGAGAGUAACACUUGUAACCACUGUGAUGGGACGAAUAUCCAAGAAAGACACAUUUGACUGCUCUAGGAUCAAGUUUAGUACGAAGUGAUGGAUCUAGGUGAACAAACACUGUACAGCCAAAUAUUCUAAGAGGGAGGUCAGACGAUAGAGCAUGACUAUGAGGAAAGGUUUUUAAGAGAACACUACGAGGAGUUUUAAAACGUAGGGUUCGAUUUGGGAGACGAUUGGUAAGAUAAGUGGCUGUGAGGACAGCAUCACCCCAUAAGUUCUUUGGAGCCUUGGCAGCAAACAGUGAUGCCCUCGCAACCUCUAGCAAGUGACGGUUUUUGCGUUCAGCAACUCCGUUCUGCUGAGGGGUGUAAGGGCAUGAGCUGCUGUGAGCAAUGCCAUUAGCCGUUAGGAAGGAACUUAAGGAUUGAUUGAAAUAGUCCUUUGCAUUAUCAGUGUGAAGUACUCGAAUAGGAGUUUGAAACUGGGUUUUGACCUGAUUUAGGAAGUUUUGAAAUAUAUCCUUUGUUUCAGUCUUUGAUUUCAUGAGAUAAGUCCAUGUUAAACGGGUGUGGUCAUCAAUAAAGGUGAUGAACCAUUUAGACCCACUAACCGUUUUUACAGAACACGGACCCCAAAUAUCGCUGUGAAUGAUGGAAAAAGGAUGUGUUGGCUUAUAUGGUAGGCUAUGGUAGAUGACUCUUGUCUGUUUUGCAAGUUGACAGACCUCACAAUAAAAAGAAUUCGGAUUUUUAUUGAUAAACAGCUUAGGAAACAGUUUUUUAAGGUAAGAGAAACUAGAGUGGCCUAACCGGUAGUGCCACAUCAUGACAGGGCAAUCUAACUGGCUUGUCCUAGAACUUAGGUGUACUGAUUUGGAACCCUCUCCCCCUGGUCUGGAUCCGCUUGUUGUACUCAGAAGGAACAGUCCGUCACACAGCUCAAACCUGCCAAUCAUCUUCUGAGAUCCCACCUCCUGCAAUAUACAUUGUGAUGGAUCACAUGUUAGACGGCAGUUAAGAUCUUGUGUGAUCUGACUAACAGAGAUUAGGUUACAAUUCAGCUUAGGCACAUAUAGGACAGGGAACACAGCCUGAUUUGGAGUCAGGUAGGCUGUCCCAAUCCCUUCGACUGGAGCAAUUGUUCCAUCAGCGAUACGGACUCCUGCUUUCCCUACGUGAGCCUGGAUAUUGUGGAGCAGCUGUCUAGAACCCGUCAUGUGUUCAGUAGCACCAGUAUCCAAAAUCCAGUGUUGAUUAAAAUGACUUUGAGUAAGGAAAGCAGUGGAUCUAAUACCUUGGCUAGCAAACAGGCUGUGGUGAGUUUCAGAGGGUCCUGCAGAUGCUUUCUUAGCAGUAUACUGUGCCAUCAUCUGCUGGAGAAUCUCCAUCUGUUCUCUAGUGAUUUGACCAAACUGUUGAACUUGGUCAGCUGCAGCAGCCUGUGCAUAAGCCUCUCUUUCUGCCUUAGGUUUCCAGUCCGUAGGCUUCCCAUGUAACUUCCAGCAUGUUUCCUUAGUGUGUCCCAGCUUGUUACAGUGCGUACACUGAGGUCUAAGCUUUCCAGACUUGGUGUACGCACUUCCUUGAUUUCCAGUAUACUGAGUAGCAAGGGCAGAUCCUUCUACUGAGGUGUUUUUUGAGUCGGGAAUCAUGAGCUUUCUCCUGCUCUCUUCCCACUUGAUUUCAGCAAACGCCUCUCUUACUGAAGGAAGGGGAAGACGGCCCAUAAUCCUUCCUUUCGCCUCAUCUAGAGCCUGAUUUAGGCCAAGAAGGAACCUGAUGGUUCGCUUUGUCUGGAGAAUCUGCCUGUAGAGGUCUGCAUCUUCCGUGCACUUCCAUAGAUGGAUGUCGUAUAGGUCCUGCUGUAACCAGCAUUUACUCAGUUCGUCAUAAUACUGAGUGACGGAUUUCUCCCCCUGCUUGAGAUCAUGGAGACGCAUCUCCACCUCGAAGGCCUCUGCUUUGUUGGCCUGAUUGGAGUAGGUGUGUCUCGCUCCUUCCCAGAUCUCAUGAGCAGUUUGGUGGAGAAGGAACUUCUCGCCAAUGGUCGUGGUCAUUGAGUUCAGGAGCCAUGACUGAACCAUGUUAUCCUCAAUGUCCCAGUUGGCGAACUCUGGAUCCUCUUCAGCUGGCUGUUCUGUCUUCCCAGUCAGGUACCCUUUCUUUC
rnacentral:lncRNA from 1 species